UAUUUUGUUUUUCUUUUCUUCAUGCAACCCUCUUAGGGGAAAAAAUUAUCGCCUAACCCAUCAGUUUCCUUGGGUUUGCAGGACUGUGCUGUUGGGUUACUGUUUGCUUUGCUUCCAGUACUAGGUGGGAAUUCUGGUAUUCUUCAAGGAGUGAUGUCUAUGAGUAAAGUGUACGUAUAAAUAGGAAUUUGUUUUACACAUGGGCAUACCCUCAAAUCUAGUUGUUACGUUUUUUCAGACAUAGUAAGUACUAUAAAUGGUUAUCUCAUGAGAAUUUUGAAGGUGCUUGCAAGUUUGCUUGGACGCUUAUGCAUUUAAAAAAAGAAAACCAAACAGUAAAUUUACUUCUUGGGCUUAAUGCUACUGGUGGUGUUCUUUCUAGAACACUUAAAGAAAGGACCAAAGAGUUCUCUAAAAUGUCUGGGAUACUUUUCUUCUGGUUACAAACUUGUGAAGUUCAAAGAUUAAGUUUGAGCUCCUUUGAGUUUGUGCAUGUUAUUCCUUCUUGUGAGGUAUUUAUUAUUAUCAAAAGAAGAGCAGAACUAGGUGCAUAAAACCAUAUUGUGUAUUUAUUAUCAGUACCUCGUGGAACUAGCUUUUUACGCCUUUUGCAGAUGGUUAGUUAUUCUUGAUAAGUCCAGGCCAGGAACUGGUUUUGUAUGACAUGUAGAUUAUACGAGAAAUUGUAGGGUAUGAAUCUUAUAUUUACAAGGUUUUGUAUUUCUCAAUCAGGUUGGUGAUCUUGGUUGGUUUUUUGGUUGCUUUGUCAAUUUUAUCCCGUACAUGUAUUCCUUGGCUCUUAAAACUGAUGAUAAGUCUAUCAUCACAGGUAUGCUUUAUUGCAUCUAUAUAUUUAUUAUUAUUGAAAUUUAUAUACCUGAUUUAACAACUAUCCGAAUUUCAAAUGCAUUGUCUAAUUUAUUUUUCUCUGCAGACCAACGAACUUUAUCAAUUAGCCUCAGUGGCGUUCUGCUUGCUUGUAGCCUGGGUCAGUAUCUACUUUUUUUUUCUGAGUUUGAUUUUAUGCAUGUGGAGAUGUCAUACUUUGAAUUGUUAUCAUUUCUAUCAUUCAGGUUUUUUAUGUAUAGGGGUACUAAGAAAGAACAUCAUUAAUUUUUUUAAAUAAAAAAUCAAACUUCCAUUUUGAAUCAUGAAAUUUUUUAAGGGCAUAUGUAAAGACAGCCCAGACAAUAGGAGACCUAACCUACUUAUAGGGCCACUAAUCCAAUAGAAUAAGGCCUGAUGGAUUAUUACAGAAGGCCUUAGAGCCCACUAUCCACCACAAGGGGGUCUUAAACUCAGUAUUAUUCCAAAGAACGCACCAAGACCGUUGAAACCCCUAAAGAAAUAUCUAAAGAUCCCAAUAUUUCGUUCACAACAAAUACACCUCCAAACCUAAAACAAAUAACAAUAAAUAGAAAUAAAUAAAUAAAUAAAAAGUCUUCCAAAGCACUUGCCUUUUAUAUCUUUGAAGGGAGGGAAUGGGACAACUUCCUUUUACUGUACACCUUUCUUCUUUUUUAAAUUAUAACUCUCUGGUGUAUGCCUACUUUGAUGGGAUACUAUUCCCAUGACUAAUGAAGUUGUAUAAUUUUAUUGGUCGCUAUAUGAUCAAUUGAAAUUACUUUGUUGGUGCUUUUCUGUUAAUUAUUGUUUUUACAAUUUCAGUGUAGUGAUAAGUUGGGCCUCAGUCUAGAAUUGGGUUCCUUUGCCGCUGGAGUGAUGAUAUCCACAACUGAUCUUGCUCAACACACACUUGAACAAGUAAGGCAUUUCAUUCCAUACUUUGUUUCAAGAGAUGUGUGGCUUAAUUGUAAUGUUACCAAGGCAUGUUGGUCUGGGUGUAUAAACUAUACAUGCAUAUAUGAAGAGUGUGUGCAUGUACUGUUUGUAUAUAUGUGUAUGUAGGUGAAUAAGGUGUUUAUUGCUCUUGCUUCUGUGUGGGGGUUUCAUAUGCUGUUAGUUUGUUUAUUUUUGUAUGGUCUUCAGAAAAUUGUAUCACAAUAUCCGAAUACUGUUAAUAUUCAAGAUGAUAGGAAUGGGUGUGAAAAGAAAUAAGGAAAAUAAGGUGGGUAGGAAUUUUGAAGGGCGAGGUGAAGUUGGAUAGAGGGAGGAUGGAUUCUUGCACUUUAAUACAGAUAAUAGGCUAGAAUUUUGUUUGAAAUGUUUGCUUUUCUGUCUCCCAAGAGUUAUGUGUUGAUUCCUAUUGAGUGAUUUUAUAAUUGCUUGUCUACAGAUAGAGCCUAUAAGGAACUUUUUUGCGGCCCUUUUUCUUGCCAGCAUUGGAAUGCUGAUACACGUUCAGUUUUUGUGGAACCACGUUGAUAUAUUAUUAGCAGCUGUUAUACUGGUGAUAAUUGUAAAAACAAUCGUAAUUAGCACAGUGGUGAAGGGAUUUGGGUAUAACAACAGGACAGCACUUUUGGUGAGGUUAUAUUACUAUAUCCUCGGCAUUCAUCCUUGUUCAUGAUAUGUUAUAAAUAACUGGUUUUCUCUUCUGGAUAUUGAUUUGUGAUGUGUAGGUUGGAAUGUCUUUGGCUCAGAUAGGAGAAUUUGCUUUUGUUCUUCUCAGCCGUGCUUCUAAUCUUCAUCUAGUUGAGGUCAGUGCCAUUAUCUUGCUUCUCAGGAAAAACAUUAAAUGAGAUGCAUGUAAAAAAAAUCUACUGUUAAUCAUAAAUGAUGAUGCACGAUCUCUGAAAUUCUUGGGGGAUGUUUUGGCGUGGAUUCAGUUUGUUCAGUUCAGCCUGGACUUGGGUAGUCUGGCGGUGGGGGUUUAAUCUGAGUCGUGAGAGUUUAGGAGGUCUGACGACCUUACUUGAACAUGAUUUGUUCUUCUAUAGGCUGUACAACUAUGUCCUUGAGAUGAAGAAAAUUGUGCUUGGUGUACAAGCUUAGGAAAACUAUAUAUUAAACGAAUCAUUAGGACUCAUAUUUACUCAAGUUUCUAAAAAAAAAAAAUGAAAAUCUUGUUAUUCCAAUAUGAUAAUUUCAAAGUUCAAAUUGUUUCUUCAAAUUUCUUUAUAGGAAAAAAGUGUUUCAUAGAACUGUGUUGUUUCAGUUGACUAGCUUCAAAAUAAAGUACUUUCUCCGGGCUGUUUUAAAAUGAUUAGUUAAAUGCUAUUUUAUUGUGACUAAGUUUAAUCUAAAAAAAGGUGAUUAAGUUUAAAUUCAAUACCAUACACACACUUCUGUUACUUAAUAUUUUGAAUCAAAUACUUAUUUUAAUAUGGCAAUUUUUUCCUAACUAUAAUCUUUUUUAUUAACUUCAAAAUAAAAUAAUGUUUACUUUUACUUAUUUUUUUCUACUUAAGAAGAGUUACUUUCAUUACCUUGAAUAUGGGUAAUCUUGUAUACAUAUAUUUAAUAAGCUAACUUCAAAUUAAAUACUCCGGAGUUAACUGCUCUACUUAAAUUAUUACUAUAUUAAAUUCUUUUAAUAUAAAAGUUCAAGAUUACAAAAGUGGGGAGGGGAGGGGAGCACAAUCAAAUGGGGCAAAAGCGUUGAAUAACUGAAAAAAUGGAAAUAUUGUUAAGAUCGCCCAGUUAUGUAGCCAUAUUUUUUAAACUAUUGUUACGUAAAAAUGGAUGAAUGAAAAUAAUACAUCUUUUCUUAUUGGAUACUGAUAUUAUGAUAAUUUUCAGGGGAAACUGUAUCUAUUGCUUAUUGGGACCACAGCCCUCAGUCUGGUGAGAUGUAAUCCAUUUCUGCAUGUUUAUAUAUCUAUGUAUCUACAUGAUGGUUUCAUAUGUGUCAUCAUAUGCUGUUGUAAUGAUUAUAUUUCUUUUCUCUGCAUGGUUUUAUUAAUUUUUUUUAUUGGCUUAUUUUGAGUUAUCUGCUAUUCCGUUUGAGACUUCUUUUAGAUAACAAAUAUACUUAAGAAUUAUGAAUAAUUUAGAAAUAGUUGAAAUUGUUAGCUCAAUUUUUCAUCACAAAAACAGGAAUUAGUUGAAAGCCAUUUCUUCAAUAUGAUUUGACAGAAAGAAGGAAGGCAUUGUAUUGGAACUUGGAAGUUAGGACAUUGAUUUGUCUGAAGGAUCAAUAACAAAACAAUAAAAAUUAAAAGCCAUCCAAUAUCCGUUGAUAGAAAAAAAACGAAUGAUUAUUAAGAAAAAAAGUAAACUUGCACUCCUAUAACCUAUUACUUUUUUUUGCAUGAGAGUGUGUUUCAGCAUUAUAUUAGUGAUUAAUUUUCUCAAGAAAUAAAUUUCUGGAUGGGGCAUUUGUUAAAAUUUCGUGCAGGUGACAACUCCUUUUCUUUUCAAGCUAAUACCUGCUGUAGUACAUUUAGGCGUGCUAUUGCGGUGGUUUUCUCCAGAUAGUCUCGUUGAGGUAGAAACAUUUUACUUGAAUCUAACUUUAUACACCGCAAUUUUCCUUGACUCUAAUCCGCUUGAUCAAAAUUUAUCUUCAUGUGAUAAUUCAGAUUGGAUUGAAAGGAGACAUCAUUCGCUCGGACAGUGUAAAGCAACGGGUUAUGUUGAUAGUCCAGGGACCUCACGAUUCAUGACACUGAUUGUAUGUCAAUUGAAAAUGAAAUAUCAUUUUCUUCUCAAGGAGUCAAAUUCUGGCCAGCUUAUUCCCAUGUACAAGUGAAGUCGAUUGAACCACUCUGUAUAUUUGUUCAUGUUUUUCUAGCCAUAUAAAAGCGUGUCCAGAAUCAUUUUUUUGUUUCACUUAACUGACCACUAGAUUUGGAAAAAAGAAAAAAAAAACAGAUUAGAGAGUACUAGAGAUGGAUGACCAGAUAAGAGCCAGUACAAUAGAAGAACACUAUUGUAUUUGUCUUCUUCAGUAUGACCUGAUUCUUUGUAAAAUGUAUUAUAGUUUGGAUAUUUAUAAUGAAAUUGGUACUGCACAAAAUAAUCACUAUGCCUUUUUUUGCAGUGUAAAAUAUUGAUUUUUACCAAGUUCCCAUUUAAUCUCUCAUCUGAUUUCAGCCUUCCGUUGCUACUUCAAGACUCUUCAUCAGAUAGCUAUCAGCAAAAGGAAAAAAUAAAGUUCCAAGGCUGUAAGUUCAUCGAUUCCCUAAAAAGAAAAAAACAAUUUACUGACAGCAGUAUUAUUGAUUGAAAGAACUGCUUAGAACCUUUGGAGGAUUUAGUAACUUCAACUUGAAUAUAUUUGUCUUUUGACCACCUAACCAAAAUGAGAGGAUAGAACUAGAAGUUCCUGUGACUUUGUCAAUUAGGCAUCAGAAAUAAGUAAAAAGUAAAAUGAGAAUCUUUCAUUCAUCUAUGGUUGCUGGGGAAUAAUAUAUUUCAACAAGAGGAGAGAGAAUUUAUGAUUUCAUUUUGGGGAUUUCAACCAUUUUAACUCUUGUUUGAUCUUUUUGGGUGUCCAGAUGUUGAUAGAUAGUUACAGGGAGUAAAUGAGAGAAUCCUUUAUGGUUGAAAUGUCACUAUUUCUUAAGAUUUGCCUGCAGGAACUGACAUGUGCUUAUUUAAUUUAACAGGUUAAAAAAAAAAAAAAAACUAUUUGAGUGUUUCUUCCAUACCUAGUCUCUCCUUCAAAGUUAAUUUUUAUUCUCUUUUUUGCAAGAAAAUAUAUUAUGUCAAUUGAAAGUCUUAAACAAAAUUUUGAAUGAUUCCCAAUUAUAAUAUGUGCUUACAACCACAAGAACAUAAAAUAAAAGUAUAAAAAAAAUAAACCUGAAAAGAUUCUUUCCACAUGAAGAAGAAGAAGAAGUAGAGAAAUAGUGAUAGAUCUAACCUAAAAACAAAAAUAGCGAUGGUAGCGAUGGUCCACUUCUUGCCUGUUUUUGUUUGGGCUUCCUCCUGCAUUUUGUCCUCUACUUUUCAAAUGGGGAAGACGCCAAUUAUUUAACCUGUUUUUGUUGUCAAUUUCCUUCUUUUUAUUUCUCUUUUUCCAAAUCUACAUGUAUGUAUAUUUUGUCUGCUUUGGAAUUUUUUAUCUACUGAUAAUUUAAUUUUAAUUUUUACCUUAUGCUUUCAUUUUAUUUUACAUUUUAAAAGGGGUUCUUUUAAUUUCAGGCCAUUUACCCUUUCUUGCUGACAGCAACAAUUUAGUUACCAUCGGUUUGUUUGCACAAAUGUUCAUUCCUUUCUAAAUAUCAUUCCACUAGAGUUUCACGUGAAUGGUAGUAAUAAAUAACAAAUAAUAAGAACUUAAUGUGAUAAAAAUAGUUUUGGUAAAGGUUGAAACAAACACAUUAUUUUACGAUUUAUUUUUUAGUUUCUACAACCACAUUGUAGUGACACUCGAUUUUAGGGUCAAUUUAUUAAAGAAAGUAAAAUUAUUUUUUCUCUACGUUGUGGGGUCUAGUUUUUAUUCGUUUUUUAGGUUUUGAAAUUUACAUUUUUAUUUCUUAAAUUUUAAAUUUAGUUUUGUUCUAUAUCUUAAAAUGCUAUUUUACCUUAUAAUUAUAUGAUUGUUCUGUAUUAGUAUUAAAGGGAGAACGAGUGUUAUGCGAAAGACGUACUGAAAUUUAUGGAUAGAAUUCACACAAUAGUGUGAGAUUAUUGCAUUAAUUUGAAUUAUUUUGAGGAUGGAUAUUUUUAUCCUAAAAGAAAAGAAAGGAAAAGAGGCCAAUCAUGAGGGAGGCUUUUACUCUUGGCUUUAUGCACUUUGAAUUUUGCAUAAUUUUCUGUCCACAUUAAUUUUUCCCAUAACAAAGAGAAAUCUUGUCCACUCGAUUCUCUUCUUAUAAAGUAUCCAAUUAGUGUUCUUCCAAAUUUUGUUAAUACCAACAAAUUUGAGCCCUAAAAGCUAUAUCAUUUUAAAUUCCCAAGUUGAGAUUUAUUUAUUUAGAAAUUCUCUCUAUUUAGAGGCCACCUACAGCUUUCAUUUGUAAGGAUCAAGAUUGCUGAGCUGAAAAAUAAGUGCUUUAUCAUAUUAUAGGAUUCUUUUUUUAAAUUAAAAAAAAUACUAACAAAAUCCAAUUAGAAUUCUUUUAACUAUAAUUCAACUUGAUAUGUUCAGAUCUUUUACAUUAACCCAUCUUCAUAAUUUACCCACCAACGUUUAAAUAAUAUAGUUGUAAAUAUAUUUUUAUUUAGCUUUGGCUCACUUUGUUGACGUAUUUUAAAAAUAUUCAUUUUAUUUUUUGUAUUUUAAAAAUUAUUCUCGGUUCUUAGGUAUGGAAAAGAAAAUGAAAAUAAAUGAAACAAUAUAAAGUAUAUGAACAAAAAUGGAUCUACAUAUAUUGUUUUUUAUGAGUUGAAGAAAUGUUAAAAGUAUUUUUCUCUAACUUAUUUGAUUUGAAAGAUUUUGUUUAUAAUAUGAAUAUUUGGGUCAAAAUUAGAACCUUUUAAGAGACUAUGAACAAAAUUGGAAAAUAAUAUAAAUUCUUUUAGAAUCAAAAUGCAGUGGUACUCUUUCAAUUGUUCAGCUAGAGACUAUGACUAUAAAUGUUAUAAUUAGCCAUUAAAAGAGAGUAACCCAGCUAGCCUACAAAGCAAGACAAAACUUAUAUGUUUGUUUUUAUAGGGUAGCCCACACCUUUGACCAAAUAACUCAUUUUUAAUUAAUUGAGUUCACCAUUAAUGCAUCAGUUUUUAUGACAAAUUAAUGGGUUUCAUGGAAUAAUAAUAAUAAUCUUUCCAUUUCAAACAAAUUUGUUUAGAAAUUAUUUUAUUUUUGAUAAUCAAUAAACCCCAACUUGUUUGUGGACACAAAGGAGUUUUGAUGAUACAAUAGUAACCAACAUAAACAUUAUAUUAAAAAAGAACAUCGUUAUUCCACUUCAAAAGUACAAACUAUACUAAUAUUUAUAACAAUAAUAAUCCAUGGUGAUUCACUGAGCUACUUGUUCAAGUACUGGCUUUGGAGUGGACAAACUUAGCUGCAAAUCAGGUUGAUGAUGAUGACGAUGAUGAUGAUGAUUGGUUGUUGUUUGAAAAUUGUUGAUCGUAAUUGAGCUUGAAGAUUUGUUGAUGGGGGAUUGAAGAAACUUGAAAUAUGGCUCAUGAUGACGUUGAUUAUAAUGAUACUCAAUCCAAUUGAGAUUUGUUAAUUCUGAAAUAUUUGGAAUUGGAGUUGGAUUCCCAAAGGAAAUAUUAUUGGAUGAAGCUGGUUGGAUAUUAUAAUUAUUAUUGGUUGGUUUCAAAUUGUUGUUGAUGCUGCUGCUGCUGCUGCUGCCUUUUUCAACCACUUGCACUGUCAAUUUGUCCCUUGCUGCAGCACCCUGUUGUCAUUCAUAAUAAACCAUAAACACACAUUUUUCUUUUGUAGUAUAUAGAGUAGUGAAAGUCAUUUACAAUCCCAAUAUUCAAAACCUAAUCAUCAUUGAAUUUGACACCAACCCUACAAAAAAGAAUCAUUCUAAAACACACAACAAUGAAAGGAUUAAAUUGAAAAAAACAACUCAAUUAGCUUUUCUGUUUAUUAUUUGGUUAUUGGAGAACCUUAGAAUUUCAUUUCUGUAGUUUAUAAUUAUAAUUCAGUUUUUAGGAUUUUAUCAAACCAUAUUUACUUAAAUUCUAAUUAAUAUUGAAUUGUAUUUUACUUUAGUGAGUUUUAGUUUAGUAUUAUAUAUUAUAUAGAUACGAACUGGUAUUUAUAUUAAACAAUUAGUUGUUAAACUUCACCUUCCUUCUCGUAUAUAUUUAUUAUCAUUGAGUAUUAUAUGUGUUUAAUUAAUGACUAGUCAAUAAAAAAGGAAAGUCUUAUACGUAUGCAAAUGGGUUAUUUAAAAGUAAUAGAAUAGUGUGUAUUAUUAUUUAUAUUGGAAGAGGAAUAUAAAACAUUAGUGACGAACUAAUUAAAUUUAAGUAUAUAUUGACAAUAUUGGCUUUUGUCUUUUAUUUAUAUGAAUAUUCACUUACUUAGAAAAUUGGGUUAUCAUUCAAAAUUCAAUCUUUGGCAAUUGGCACAGAGAAAAAACAGAAAUAAAAUAUGUGAAAAAUUAGAGAGUUUUGAGAGGGGGAAGUUUACGUCGAAAAGGCUGGGACGACGCUGUUUUCUUUUGUUGAGAGUUGUGAGUCGUAGAAAGUAUUUUUGUGCAUGACUAGCUACUUGAGUCGGAGUUCUUGUCGUCACAAAUUUCCUCGAAAUUCCUCUCCAAUCUCCUUUUCCAAGCUUUUCUAACCCAAUUAGAAACACCUUAUGCUCCUCUUCACUCCAUGGUACACCUAUUCAAAUACCAAAAACAUCCCGAGCUAGUAAGUUGGUGAAACGAUAAAACUAAUUAUAUAAUCAGCUAGAACGGAGAAAAGAUGAAAUGAUAUUCCUAGCUAGAAUUCAAGCAUGCAAUUUAAUGCUUUAAUACCAUAAUUAACCUAAAAAAAUAAGAAAUAAGAAUAGCCAUAUGACCAAAACGAAAAGGAAAAAGAAUAAUUAAAAGAAGAAAAACCAUGUUUUUGUUUUGAAUCUUUUGAAUUCAUGAUGAAUGAUUCAGUACAGUGCAAGAAAAAUUACCUUUUUUUCUUUCAUGGGUUUUGGCGACGAGGCCGUCUGAGAGAUAUCCAUUUGACAAUUUCUCAGAAGAAGAAGAGGACGAUAAAGAUGAAGAAGCCGAAGAAGAAGAAGAAGGCAAAGAAUCCAAACUAAUACUCUUCUUCAACAAGGUGGUAUGAUGAUGAUGAUGAUGAGUUGUUGUUCCAUUAUCAAUGAGUUGAACUCCAAAUAACUUAAACUUGGUUUCUUUAUGCUUUUGAAUGGUGCAAGUUCUUGAAUUGUGACCCACAUUCCCACAGUGUGAGCAUUUCCUCACCAUCUCUCUCUCUAUCUCUCUCUCUCUCUCUCAAAUGGAAUCUCAAACUAACACCAAAUUCUUUCAAAAGUAUAAUAUAAAGGGUUUAAAAAGGAAGGGGUAGCUGUGUUGUUGUUUUGAUUAAAUUAAAUUAAAUCAAAUCAAAUCAAUAGGGUUUGUGUUAAUUAUUAAUUAGUGAAGAAAGAGAUAUGAUCCUCUCCUCCUCCUAGGUUCUUUCUUUAAUGAUUAUUGACGUAAAUAGCAAGUCAAGAGGUGUGUGUGUUUGUGUCUCAUUGGAUCAUAUUCUUUUUCUUAUAUGAUAAUAAUAAUGAUAUGAUAAAACUUAUCCUAAAAAUGGCAUCUUUUUUAAAACUCCCACAUGACCAACGUGACCUUAUAUUUGUCCCAUUCUUUCUCAUAUCUCUCUAUUUUAUUUUAUUCUUUCUAUCCAUUUUCACCUUUUCUUUCUUUCUUUCUUUCUUUUUACUCUCAUUUCUACUUAUUCUAAGUAAGUUAGAUUACAUAUUUGCACACGAAUAGUUUGAAAAUUUUAAGGGUUUUUCUUUAAUCCUAAUAAUACUUCAUUUGAAUUUUUAAAGAAUUUUUUAUACCUAACAAUAGUUUUUGAAAUAUUUAUAAAAAAUUAACAGUAAUAAUACUAAAACUUUUAGAAAUUUAUCAAAAAAUAUAUAUAGUAAAUUUGACAUUCUAUCCAUGUAAAUAUAAGUAAAUAUUUUAAUUUAUUUUACUACUUUAAAAAAUGCUCGAAAAAUUGUAGUAGAAAAUAUUUACAAAAUUUAAAAUUUUAUCAAUUAUGGAUGUAUAUUAUUUGAAGGUGUCUUUUUUUAUUUUUUAAGUAUGAAACAUAAUUUUUUAAAAAAGCUUAAGAAGAUAUGUUUAAUUUUUUUUCUUUAAAUUACUAUUAUUUGUUAUUGAAAUUGGGGUGACCACAAAAUUCCCACCAUACAUUAUUGUGAUGGGAAAAAGGGAGUGAUGUUGAUACCAACCAACAAAACCCUAUUUUUAGUUGGAGAUUUGCCCAAAAAAAAAAAAAGAAGAAAUUUGAAAUAAUUUCUUGAAGAUUGCUCCAUAUAAAAAAAGAUGGGAUAAAAAAGAGAAUGAUUACAAGCAAGUUGGCAGAACAACUACUGAAAUAUCAACAUUCAACACAUUGUGACCAUACAUUUUUGUGGAAGCUAUUUCCAUUGAUUAUAAACUUCCAAAUCAAACAUUUCCAUACAUUCCCUACACACACACACAAAAAUACCAACUGUUUCUUUUAGAUUUUCAACUUUGUUAACUAUCACGUUAAUGUGAUAUAUAUGUAUUCAAUUUUCUUAACAUAUUAGUUAACUUGUCAAGUUGGCAAAAACCUUAAUUUCAAUAGUAUUUUUGGAAAGCAUUUUAACCUAUAGUUUUUAAGACGAAGGACAAAAAUGAAUUCCAUAUGAGUCUAAAGUUCAUUAAUUCUUUUGUAUAUGAUAAGAAAGGUAAGGCAUUGGCCAUCAAAUCUCACCAUUUAGAAAUCCCAUGUUGUCUCCAACAUGGUGGACCAAAUUUCCAUACCCACAAUAUCAUUAUCCCCUCUCUCUCUAUAUAUAUAUAUAAACUAUAUUAUUACUAUUUCUAUAUACUUUGCAUAAAUAAUAAUAAUAAUGCUUUGUGUUUGUCUAACAUGAGACAACUAAUUAACAACUUAUUAUAAUCUCAUUCUCUUUAAACAUAAAACCCUAAUUCACAUUAACCCAACUUGUCCCUGUACUAUUGUUCUAAUAAUAGCAUUUUUCACAUUGCUAUAUAUUUAAUCAUCCAAAAAGUAUUAUUUAAUUGAUUAUAAUUAAUUAGGUGACAAUUUUGUUAGAAUAUAUAUAAGUGAAUUAGCGAAUUAAAUUUAUGAAGAGAUUAUAUAUAUAUUUUUUUUAACCUUUUCAAAUGGUAAAAAGAAUUACUAACACAAUUUAUUAUUUACUUGAGUAUUAAGCAUCAUAUUUUAGGGAGGUGAAAAUGUUUUCUCUACCCAACAUUUACUAAUUAACUCUUUUGUUUUUACUGACCCUUUUCAAACUUUACACCAAAAAUAUCGUAAAGUAGUUUUAAUUUAAGCAUAUAUAUAUAUAGGGUGUGAAAAUGAUAAUGAUGCAUCUUUUUCUUUUAUAAAGUAGUUUGACUUAAUCACCUCUCCCCAUUUCAAUAUUCUUUUCGAUAAUUAAUCAAUGGACUUUCCCUUACCUGCACUCAUCUCGUUUUAAUAUUAAAAACUAAAAUAUCACAUAUACAAACUGCACCAAUCGAUGAUAAGUACUAAUAUCUGUCCAAGAAAUAUGUUUUUUUCUAAGUAAUUAAGAAACCAUCAUGUAUAACCACACUAAUUAAUUAAUUUACUUAAUCUCCUGUUUCUUUGGCCUAAUUAUUAAAAUCCUAGUUGCAAUCUGAAAAGGUGUAGUAUAAAUUAAUUAUACACAUCACACUUUGAAUGUAACCUUUUCUUGUUCCCUUCAUUUCUCUUUAAUAUUUAAGGCCAAGUUGAGUGGAUAUCUUAUUAAUUUAUCAAAAUUAAACUCUAAUAUAUAUUGGUGAAUUUGACUGCUACUUUGGUUUCUACUUUGAUAUAAAAUUAGCAUAUGACAUAAAAAUAAUUAACUAAGUUGUUUUUUAUUCACUGUCGUCUAGUGAGUGAAGGAAGAUAGUUAAAGUAACACAUAAUGUAAGUUAUUAUAUGUUACAAAAUUAAAGCAUUAUCAUUUAAAAUAAUGGGAAUUAAAUUAUAAAUUUAAUAAAUCUUUCCAAACCAUAUAUUAUACUUUUAAUUGAAUUUUACAUUUAAUUGGAUUUUAAACUUUCAAUUUGACUAACCCAUUUAAAUUUUUAGGACUAAAUUUGUAAAUCUAAUAUGAAAUUAAUAUGAUUCAAGCCUAUUAAUUUAAAACAUUGUUGAGUUUCUAUGUAUGAAAUUAUGGUGAAUCUUCUCGAAGAUAGUGACUAAAUAAAAUUAAUUAUCACAUUUGCUAUAGUGACGACUAAAUAAAUAAAGUAACAAUAUCUUAAUUAAGGAAUAACGACAAAAUUAAACUUAUUACAAAUAAUUAAUAUUUAAAACGAAGCAAUAUAGAGAGAGAAGAAUCAAUUAUGGAAAUAAUAAUUAAUGGAAGUUUAAGAUAAUGUUUUAAAUUAACAAAAAAGUAUAUGGACCAAUUUGGUUCUCCAAAGUUCAAAACCCUCUAUUAAUUAAAUUAUAGACAAUUAAUUAAGAAAAUUCAACUUGAAUCUAUAUAAAAGCUUAAUUAAUUUAGAGAUAAUGACCAAAAGCUUAGGGGUUGUGUGGAGAUCAUUUGCUUUAAAAAACCCUACUUAAUUUUUUUUAAUACAAAAUAAUUAUGAGUGAUGGGACCAACUCAACAUCCAAACCAAAAUUUCUAAGGUAAUUAAUUUACAUUGUGGAUAUUAAUUAAUCAUGCCAUUUUUUAUUUCCAAAAUUAGACUUUAUUAUAAGAAAAGUUAAGUCUAACUUAAUUAAUUGAUUACAAAUUAUGAAAUUGACUAUUACACGAUAGGUUGAAGUGAUCAUAACAUAAUACUAAUGCAUAUCAAAUUAAUCUAAUUAGUGCAUCUAUGAUUCUUAAUUAUAAGAAAACAAUAGUGUUUAUAAUUAAUAAUGGAAAUAAAAUUAGACUAAUUCAUUGAAUAUGGUCUAAAUAAUCAGGUAAUUAAUUAAGGCAAUGAAUAUAAUCAAGGGAUGUUCUCUCUAUCUCCAAUAAUCAUGCAUGAUAUAGGAAAUUAAAGUUGAUUAAUUAAGAUGGUUGAAUAUUCCCUAAUGUUGACAUUCUUCUUUCUUUUUUAUUAAUUUUGCUGUAUUGAUUAAUAGUUAUUUUUUAGUCCUGACAUUAAGCUUAAUUAAUUUUACGUAUAGUUUAAGGAUGAUUAAAUUACAUGUGUGAUGUCACUUGAAAAUGUGUUGAUUAUUUAAAUUAUAAGCAACCAUAUUAUUGCAUAUGAAAUGAAAUUAAACACUAAUUAAUUUGCUCUUGCUCUCAUGAUUAAUAUAAUUAAAUUAGCCUCUUUAGGUUACGUGAUGCAUCUGCCCUCUAACUUAUCUUCAAUUGGUUUAUUAGAGUGAUAUAUAUGUAAGAAAAGGAAAUUAAAUUAAAUUAAGAAGAUAAUUUUUCUUAAUUACAAGCUAUCAAAUUGUUAGCUUAAUUAAUUAUGAAGAUUAAUAAGGCAUACUUUAUUUAAAAGAAAACUAUGAUAUACUAUAAAUAAAAGUGUAUAUGUCAUCAUGUAAAAUGAUAUUCUGAAGUUUGAAGAACACACAGACUAUUAAAUUAGUAUUAUAUUGUGAAGACAUGUAGAGAAUUUGGUUACAAAGUUUUGUAUUAGUCAUACAAAUUUUAAUUAAUAUAGGUCUAAUUCAAUCCUUAUUAUUAAUUAAGAUUUAAGUCAAUAAUCCAACAAAAAAGAUUACAUGAUAUUUUCUUUCUCUUGUUAAUUAAUAUUAUUCACACCUAAGCAAUAAUAACAUAUAUUCACAUUAUUUAUAUUUGAAAAAUAUUAAUUAAUUAUACCAAUUUAAAUCUUAUGUUAUAGAGUGAAUCAAUUUAACCUAUUUAAUUUCUAAUUGAAAGGUCUAAAUUGGAUUAAUAUUUUUAAAUUUCAGUGUUCAAAUCAAUAUUCUUACUAACUGUGAGGGGUAAAUAAAUAAUGUACUUAUUCAAAAUUAAGAGAUAUUUAAUUAUGUUCGUUUUACAAUUUAUCAAACGUUGAUCAGAACAAACUUCAUAUAUAAUCUAAAUUAGAGUGAUAUAUUUCAACCGACACGAAUCUCUCACCUAACUCCAAUAAUAAAAAAUAUAACUUGUGAAGUCAUUAAAUUACAUAAUUAAGAAAAACCAAUAGUUAAGAGGAGAAUAUUCAAGAAUCUAAAGACAACUAUACUAUACCAUAAGACUAAGCAAUUUUGGAAUCAUGUCUACAUCUUUUAUCUAACCAAAUAAAACAAACAAAUAAAGUAAAAGCCAUUGACAAACAAAAUUCCUCUAAUAAGCAAACUUUGGUUAUGAUUGAAAAUUAAACUAAGCCAAACUUUGCACCCUAAGUCAAAAAGGGACCCUCCUAAUUAUCUUAAUCACGACUAUUUAUUUACAUCAAUGAGUUUAAUUAUGAUUUAAUGUGUUUUUUAUUAAAAUUUUAUCUCAAUUAAUUUAAAAUUAUUUUUAAAUAUAGUAAAAUAAAUUAAAAUAUUUAUAAAAAUAUCAUAUUUGAUAGGACAUAAUAUAACUAUUUAUUAUUUCUAUUGUCGUAUAAAUUCAAAUGGAAAUAAACUAUGAUUUUAAUUAUUUUUUCCAUCAAUACCUGUUUUUUUUAAGAUGAACAAUAGAACAUUAAUCAUUUAAAUAAUUCUUAUGAAAGAUUAAAAUAUUGGUUUGAAAAAUAAGUCAAUAAUUAUUUUAGCAUUAUUCCCAAUAAGAAAUGCUAUUAAUCUAAUAACCAUUUGAAAUUCUAAGGUUGUGGUUGUGAAGUUUCCUUCUGUACUAAUAUAUAUGAAAUGAAUGCAUAUGUAUAUAUUUAACUUUUAUAUUUUGAAGGAAUCAUAGGUUAUAUGUAUAUAUUUAUAUUUGAAUAAACAUGUCAUUAAAAUACACAAAUUAACAUUUAGAGGUCCAAUUAUGAUUUAAUUUGAUCAUUCCUUUUGUAAUUUUUUAACUUAAUAGAAAAAUGGACAAAUGCCAAACUGAGUAUAUAGAUUACUAUUUAAGCACAUGGUCUCUUUAUUGUCUAUUUGUAUUUUGUCCAAUUAAUUGUUAGUUCUUACACAUCUCCUAGCAAUAAUUUUGAUGUCACAUAUAUCAUAUUAAAGUAUAUUAUAAUAAAGUGUAUCAAAUUAAAUUUAGUUUAUAGUUUUUUUUUUUCUUUGUUAUAGUUCAAAUUUGAUCCCUAUAAUUUUCAAAGUUUCAAUUUAGCCCUUGUUAAUGAUUGAAACUCUCUCCUUUACUUGAUGUCAUCUUCUAAUAUACAUAUAACCAACAUAUUAACAUAUCUUAGAUGUAUUUAAGAUGCAGUAAUGUCUUGUAAUAUAACAAUAGAGAUAAUUAGUAAAAUGCAACCCAACUGUGGUGAUGAAAAUGACCAUUAGAAAACCAGUACACUAAAUUGAAACUAUAACUAAAUUAAUUAGAUGUAUGGAGUGAUAAACAUUCAUAAUUUCAUACCUCCCCACAAUCAUAUCAAUGUAGUUAUUAUAACGUAUAUCAAAGUUGUUAAGUUCGUCGAAACUGCUACUCUCUUUAAUAGCAGCAGGUCAAGACUUCUUUCUGAUAUUUGAGAUUUUGAUCAUCACAACACAUUCUAUUAGAUUAUAUUUCUCUUUUUUGUCCACAAAAUUGUAAUUUAAUUGCUCACAUUUUGGAAUGUAAUGCACCAUAAACUGACGUCCUUUUCGUAUAGCUUAAAGAUCAUUCUCCACAUGUUAAUGUUGCUCUGUCAAAAUGAUAUUCAUCUCUUUGCUUUUCUUAUAUAUUGAACGAAAAUGGACAUUCAAACUCUCACGUUUUGGGCCGGGAUGUUAGGCCCCGGGCCGGUUUCGGGAGUUAUAAAUGGGCCGCCUUUAACUAGUUGGGCUUGGGCCGUAACAUGAAAAAGCAGUAUUGGGCAAAUCCUGUAAUUCAUACAGAAAGCAGGGGUGAAUUUGCAAACUUGGUCAAAAUUUAUUGAUAUCAAUAAUUAAUAUUUACAUAUCAUAGCUUAAAUGAUUUUACUUUAUGGCAUGUAAAGUCUAUCCACUACCAAAAAGAAAUUGCCUUUUUUAACUAUAUUUUCUAUUGUUCUUUAUGUUUAAAUUUUAUAUUUUACUUUUUUUGUCAACUUGAUCUUUUAAAAUAUUACAUUAUGUCAAAUGUAUUAGAAAUUUGUUGAUAAUUUAAAAACAAAUUGAAAGACCAAUGACCAAUUUUUAGGACACAAACAAACUAAAUAUAGUUAUUAAUAGCACCAAAUAAAGGUAUUGAGAUUUUAUGAUAUGAAGUUUAUUAAUAAAAAUUUACUCUCUAAUACAAUUUAUUUAUUUUGUGUCUAAUAGAUUCUAGAAAUUUAAAAAACACUCUCUUAAACUAAAAAUCAUAGCAAAACGAAAAAAGAAAUUGAGAAUAAUGUUUUUAUUUGUUGAGUUCUUUCAAAGAAAAGAAAAAAGAAAUUGAGAAUAAGAUUUAAUAUUUAGAAUAUUAUAAAAGUUGGGACAAAACGAAGACAAGAGUCAUUUAAAACAUACCAUAGUACUAUGCACUAAAAAAUGCUAAUUAUUAGUGACAAAGAAGACCUUUCACAUCUAUGCUUUCACUUUAUUGCUAAAGGGACCUUAUAAAAGCUUCUUUAAAAAAAAAUAUUAAAGGGUAUAUUUUUACAUUCGUACAACUUAUCCUUUGAAGAUAUAAUAAGACUAAAAAUAAUUUUAUUUAGUAGGUUAAAAUUUGUUAUCGAAAGUUUAAGAGUAUAGUUGUAACUUUUACUAUACUUUGAAAAUAGUUUUAAUUUUUGUAGUUAUUGAGUUUUUACAAUAUCAUUCAUGAUGUCAUAGCAAUAUUUAAAAUAUAGAAUUCAAAGUGUGACAUACUAUUUUUUAAAUUCUAACUUGCUAGUGAACUUAGAAUAGAACGGAUAAAACAAAUUAAUGUACUAAUGGUUAGUUUUCAAACGUGUUUGGUUUGGUCGGUAACGUGUAUGUUAGGAAGAUUUGAAACAUAUACUAUUUAGUAGAUACUAGUAUCACAUGUCAAUUGAGUUAUAAGCUGAAGGUAGAUACUAGGAUGUUAUUUUUUACCCUAAGAAAUUUAUUAUAUAGUUCAAAAGCAGGAUCAUAUUUUGACUGAGGAAUAAUUUUGGAGAUAAUGAAAAGCCCAAGAAGAAACCCCAUGUUGGUUGGUUUGAACUUUUGAUUGGUCUCUGUGUCUUUUCAAAACUGAGCACACUGCUCUGAGUCAUGGAGAGGUCCGGACAUUGGCGACCCACCAUGGAACCUCUCUCUGAAUCCCAAUGUGAACCUCUCUUUUAUCUUUCUCACCUUCUCCAUUUUCUUUCAAUUUUCUCCCUUUAAUAAUGGGGGUCGAAAGAGAUUGUGAAAAAAGGCACACAACCCCAAAACCCCUUGAAACCCCUCUUUUUGUUUGUCAAAAUUGUUUGCUUCUUCAAAUUGAAAUUCCAGUUUCUGGGUUCUGAAAUACACAAAAAGCAAAACCCAAGUUGAGAAGAAAAAGGUAGUAAUCAGUAUUCUCUUUUAGUAGUAGUACAGUAUGUGAAACCAAAAAAUGGGUCAGGAAAAAGAGCUAAGCUAAGAGACAUUGAAUUUGAAAUAUUUUGUCUUGCAGUGUGGAUUGCCAGCAUUUCUCUGUUUGGGUUUGCAGGCAAACCAAGCAAGGAACAGACCCCACAACCUCAGUUUUUCACACUCAACCAUGUGGUAAUGGUAAGAAAAAACAUAUAUUUACUAUCAAUUUUAGUUUCCUGAGUUUUUUUCUUUUCUUAUUUUUGUCAUUGUGCUGUCAAAGAAUUUGUUCUUGGAAAAUCAAUCUCGAGGUUUGAGUUUCUUUAUUAUCCAACGUGGAAGCUGAAUGAUAAUUACACUUGAUUUUAAUAAAUGUACUGUCUUUUCUGUGAAAAAUAUUUUUUCUCUUUAAACUUUCAAGAACCGUACACUCUUUGAAGCAUAUUUUGUCUAUUAAACUCUUCAUUAAGAAAGAACCUUCUCUUUCCGUUCUUACUUGAGUAAUUAUUAAAGCCCACUUUAUGAGAGAAAGAGGUCUUGGUUGGAACUUCUUGAACCUGAAACGUUAGUUGACCUUGACAGGACAGAAAUUGGAUUAGUACUUUCAGAGAGACAAUUGAGAUGGUUAGAAAUUAAACCCCUUUAAUGGUUUCACUUACCAAGCCUGCAGUGCAGAGAAAAAGGCAAAAGCCAGAAGCAUUCUCUCUAGUAACAGCUACAUGGAAGUGUUGCACCAACAUUGAGGUUGUAGGUCCACAUUAUUUCCUCUAGUUAUUUCUGGUCAUUAUCCAGAUCCCAUUAUCGCUACUUGGUCAGAGCUCUAAAGAAAAAUCAGAGAAAAGAUUUAGAAAAUGGAGGGAAAAGUUUGGGUUGUAUCACAUCAGAUCCAACGGCAGAGCUCUAGAUUUAAGAUAGAAUGGUAAUGGAAAAUGGAAUCCUGAUCCGAGAAAUGAAGGCUAUCUAUUUGCAUUGUUUCAUCAUUCUGGUGUUACUCAAUGAAUAACCAUAAUGGUCCGAAUACGAAUAUUAAGGAAGGUUAGUCUAAUAAUUGAAGAAAUGCAUACACCCAAAACUAGCUGAUGGGUGCUGUUUUCAUUGCGAGACAUUAAAUUUGUCAAAGAUAUCCCACAAGAUCUUCUCGUCAGUUUUGGUUUGCUUGCAUCAUCAUUUUCAGGCUCUUUUCUCUCGCCUUUCUCUGAGACUAUAUCUGUUCAAAAGUACACUGCUGAAACAGUAGUCUCUCUUUUUUCACAUUUGAUUGCCUUAAGUUCUUAGUUGUUUGAUUCUGAAGAGAAAGUGUGAUACUUUGUUACUGUAUUACUCUUGCUUCUCAUCACUUUGGCUUUCUUGUUCAGAAUAGCUUAAAAAGAAAGGGACUGUCUGAAAAAUGGUGCUGAGAAGACCUGGCAGGAACAGGAAUUUCAACAGAGAGAAUCCAGAUAUUUUGAUUAUGAUGAUUGCAGUGGAUCAGAUAAUAAGAGGUUGUGAGCAGGACAAAGGAGAUGGCACAGAGAGGAAGGGGAUGGGCCCUUUAAAGCCUGCAACAAAGAGUGAGUGGUUUCUGCAUCCCAAGAGCUAUGGUCUCUCCUCUUUCUUGCUCUCCACCCCCUGGUUUUCUCUUGUGCGGCUGAUACUUCCUUCUAUCUUUAUUUAGUGGGUCCAUUUCCUCCAUCUCCACCUUCAUGCAGAGUCCUCUUUUUUGCCUCUUCACUCUCUCUCUCUUCCUUUUAAUGGUUCUCUGAGAUGGGUGUCAUUCAUUUUCCAGAGCUGUACGUAUUUUAGCUUUAAAGUUUGAGAACAGAGAUUGAGAUUAUACAUCUCCCUGCCGUUCAAUCCUCCAAACUUAAGCUUCUCGGGGUUUGAGCGCUUGAAGCUAUUCCAUUCUCCUUUUUUCAUGCAAAAUUUUGUAUCACUUUUCUUUUACCAUCGGCUUUAUGUUGUUGUGAUUUGGCAGAAGCCGGAAAAGUGGGAAUACAGCACCAGUCAUUAUUACUUCUUUUCCCCUUGUUUUUUUCUAUAAAAGCAAAGCUUCUCUUCCACUUUAUCUGAACUUUCACAAUGGCACCCUUUUCUGGAGAAACAAAAGAAACCAAGUUCUUUGAAUCUUCUCCUUUUUCUUUUUUAAGUUGUCUUUGAUCACCUGUGAGUGAAGAACCAUAAAGCAGUGAACAUUAUAGCAAUUUUUUUUCGUUUUAUAACUUGCAGGUUUAAAGCUCUUCACUAAGCCAUCACAUCCAUUUAAUUUGCUUAGAAAUUCAGGACACGGUCAUUUUUUUUUCAGGGGAUUUGGUGUGGGGCUUUCGCUCUAAGUUUCUCAUCCUAUAUAGGAUGACAGAGAUUCAUCAAAUGGAAGGUUGGUUUCUUUGUCAUUUUAUGCUAAUGGCUCAAUGUUUAUGUUCUGGCUGGUGGUUUACAGAGUGAGUUUUGAUGUGGACCUUUAUUUCUUCUGUCUUGUAUGAUGUUAUGUUUGUUCCCUCCUUUGUAUCGUGUGUCAAAAUAAAUUGAACAUCUUCAACGAAUGGCUUGUCAAUAUUAAUUUUUUGCUGGUCCCUAAACGUAACAUGCUUUUCACUCUUGUGGCAAUAGGUUCUGGAUAUGUUACAACUACUAAUUUCCCUUUCCAACUCUGAAUAAUAAUAAUAUAGCAUAGCCUGUCUCUAGAGGAAUGUGAAUUUGGAUGUCUGGAUUGAGCUGCAAGUUCAUUUCUUUUUCCAUUCAACUGAGAAGUUCAUUUUUUGUUUGAUAAUGCUAUAUUGACUUAUAAAUGCUAUUGAAAUCGCAGCUAAAAAGUGAAUGUGGUUUGAAUCGAGUAUGUUAAUCUCAGCUGUUGCUUUGGAUAAAGAAUGGUAGUUUUCCGUCUAGACUGCGUAUGGGUGGGCGAAUGAUUUGAUGAAUGCUCUGGUGGAUAUGGUAAACCCAAAUUCUGUUGUUGUAUGUGAAAUUCUGCCUCUUGGCUUUUAGAACUCAGUUGAUACGUCCAAUUAAUGAACUAAGCAAUAUUACAGCUGGAUUUCCUAUCUUUUUAAGUCUGCGGGAGUCUGGAUGCUCUGCUCUUACUAGUGCUGAUAAUCAUAUAGUUGAACAAUUGACAUUUUGAGGUUUUCCAAUGUCUACUGCCCUGCAACGAAUCGAUAUGGGAGAUGCUUGUCUGGGUCCCUCUGGUAAUGCUGAGUUUCAAAAUCAAUUGGCAGUAGCCAUUCCUAUUUCUCUGUUUCAAUCUACCUCUCUUGCUCCAGUGAAUGAUAUUCGUGGAAAUACAAAAGAUUCAGCAUUUCCAGACCCACAGUUCCAGCAAUUAGAAACCUUUAGAACGUGCUUCUUACACAGUUACUCUAAUGCUUCAAAUUCUUCAUUUGCAAGUUCUCUGAUCUGUGAAGGUGAUGAGUCUCUAUGUAAUGCAAAUAAUAAGUGGGAAAGCGAUAGGUUUCAUUGUAUUCAGCAACUUUCUGGGGAGAAUCCGGAAACAUCUGAUUCCCAGACCGUCUUGUCCAUGGAACACCUGCACCAGAAUGGCUGGAUGUCAUCUAACACUAUGAACUCUAAGUUAUGGAAUGAGCUUUCUCUAAGCCUUGCUACAACCGAACCCGUCCUCAGUGGAGGAACUGAUUUCCUGGACCAGUAUUCUCAGUUGACUUUUUCUGGUGCUACUCAACCUUGCUUGAACAGCACAGAAUUAGCCUCGAACUUAAAUUCAGGCAGCUCUAGGGACCUCUCUCUAAGUUAUGGAUGUGGUAAUUCUGUUCGCCUUUCUCGAGCAAUAGCAGGAUCUAGAUAUCUUUCGGUCAUUCAAGAUGUACUUUCUCAAAUUGCAAGCUAUCCACUGGAAAACUCAGAUCAAGUUGAUCAUUCAACUACUGCAACUGGGUUUGUGCCGUUGUCAUCAUCAAGUUCCCUGGAUGAUGCAACGAUUGAAUAUGGUUCUGAUGUUACUGGUAGAUACAGUUCUCAAAUGGAGCCGGAAUGGCAAAAUCUAUCUGUUGAUGCCAAGAAGUCCCAUCUGUUGACUCUACUACAAUUGGUUGGUUAAUUUAAUAUAGCGUUUCUCUGAUUUUUAUCUUUUUACCCUUCUUAUACUGAAAAACUUGAUAGUGUUUCAGAUUGAUGAGAGGUACACUCAAUGCUUGGAUGAGAUUCAUACCGUUACUUCUGCGUUUCAUGCUGCUACUGAUUUGGACCCUCGCUUGCAUACUCGAUAUACACUCCAGACGAUCACUUCGGUGUAUAAAAACUUGAGGGAGAAGAUUACCAGUUGUAUUUUUGCUAUUGGGAAGCAUUCUAACGCAACGUGCACCAAGGAGAAGGAAAAAUUCUUUGAGGCAACAUUCUUACAGAAGCAGUGGGCUCUCCAGCAGUUGAAAAGGAAAGAUAAUCAAUUAUGGAGGCCACAGAGAGGCUUGCCUGAAAAAUCUGUCUCCGUUCUUAGGGCAUGGAUGUUUCAAAAUUUUCUCCAUCCGUAAGAUUUUGUGACAAAUCUGGUUUACUUUUUGAAGAUACGUAUAGUAAGUUGAAGGAAUGUUUGUUCUUUGGUGAUUUUUCAGGUACCCCAAGGACACAGAGAAGCAUUUACUUGCAGUAAAAAGUGGAUUAACUAGAAAUCAGGUUCUUGCUGCUUCAAGAUUUCCUUCAACUUUCAUGAGUUCUCCUCACUUUUACUGAGUUCUGCUAUUCUGGACUUUGGACAGGUGUCUAAUUGGUUCAUCAAUGCUCGUGUCCGAUUGUGGAAACCGAUGAUCGAGGAAAUGUAUGCUGAAAUGAGCAGAAGAAAAUCCAAUCAAAAUGAGGAGGGAAUCGAAAGAAUUCAUUGUCCCAGAUAAGCAUUAGCAGUGAGAAGAUGUGGCUCGAACUGUGAAAAUGAUAGACAGUAUUGAGCACUGUAUGGAACUUGAAUUGAUUAGAAAAGUGUACUAGACUGAAUUAAAUUCAACUAUAUAUUCUUUUUGACAAUUUAACCUGAGAAAUUUCUUUAGCUUCGCAUUCCUGGCUACAUCAUAAUAGACAAUAAAAUGCAAUUAGUCAGCAGAGAAACAUCACCACAAACUUCAUUCUGAAAAGAAGGAAAAAGAAAACACGAUCAAUAAGCGAAGUUCAAUCUAAAAACAUUAUUUAUUAAUUGAAAAUAAAUAAUUCUGAGAUUUACAGAGAAUGGUGCCCUCCUCCUCAACUAACUCUUUUGAUUACAAAUGAAAGAAUGACAAUUUCUGAUUUCUGCCUAGAAGUUUUCACUAUCAAAUAUUCUGUUUCCUUCUUUAUCUACACCCCACACCCACACCUCUCAUUCACGAACUGAUGGAUUGCCAAAGAAAAAACAAAAAAAACUGUCCCAACUCCUCACAGUACAUAUAAAUACAAAAAGUGAUUAAUAUUUUUUGUUGCGCCUCCUUUCAUCGUCUUGUUGUUCUAGACUUGCAAGGAGAUUCUUGUUUUUAUCGGUUUCAACUUCAAUCCCAUACUUUCUGGUGACAGAAGCUCGGGAGCUAUGCAAGAAGGGCUCAAGGGGCUUCUUGGGCUGACGCUAAAAUGAGAUGGCCUAUACAUGCCAUAUCCCAUGAGAAAAUACUCCAUAGGUAUCAACAUUGCAUCAGGCUGCUCCUCUGUCACCAUUGACCCACAUGACUGAACCUAAGAUGUGAGAAUAGCCCCUUUUAAUUCAUAGUAGUAUAAAGCUCGGUUUAUGAUUUUCAUGUAUAUUUAAUCUCCAAAAAGGAAAAAAGAAAGUUCAACAUACUUCCACUAGGGCACUGUAUCUUCUGUCUAGUUUGACAGUCAUGUGGUGAGCCUCUGAAUGGAACGGGGACCUGUCCCCAACAAAUAUCAAUGAACGGCACUUUAGUUUCCGUAACCCUUCUGAAAUGUCGGGUCUCCUGCAUGAAAGAAAAAAAAAGUUUAGGAGGGCCUUCGACCCCAUAUGUGUAUCAUCUAACUAAUGUAAUUUCACAUCAGAGGUAUAGAGGAAAAGGACCCCAACAAUUGUCAAGCACAAAUUCAAAGAUUGGAGUUAGAUGCUUACCCAUUCAUUGCUUCAAGAAACCUCCAGACGUUUGAACUUUGCCUCUCGUCAAGUGACUGUAGAAAGAACAUGAUCAUAAUGUUUGAUCAAACAAAUGCUCAACUCUUAAAAUCUGUCAAGUUUUCCAACUCUGGAAUAACUGACAGUUUAAAGUUGCUAAAAGAAAACGAUGAAAAUGCUGCAGUACUCACUCUUCUGCAUGCUUGAACUAAAUCUGACUCUGGUACUUGAGAACAACCACGAGCAUCCUACAACCAGCACAGUACAAAUGUCUAAUCAAACUCAGUUGGGAUGAAUAACUCUAGUAAGAGAGUUUGAGUUUGUGCAAGUAAACCUGCAGUUGGUCUGUGUUUAAGUUGAGAAGAAAAAAGAGUUUAAAAGUUCACACGUUCAAGUGCAAUUUUCAUAUCAUCAAAUUGGUUUUGAAGGAAUAAAAACCGAUUUCAUGGUGAUUUUGAAAACAAAGCAAUUUUCAUUUUUAGACCUACCUUACUGAAAUACCGCUUCAGCAACAACUCCUUCACUACCCCACACAUGCCAUAGAAAUAAAGCAAAUUUGACAUCACCUGCAUAUGGAAAAUCUGUUAAUAAGAUGAUUCCAAUAAACCAGAAGACGAUCAUAAUAGUUCUUUCGUUCAGAAAGACGACCUUAUUAUACAACCAUUCUGUCCAACAGGGCGCUGUGCAUAUGGGAGAAAUCAAUAUCAAACCAUGAACACGAUGUCUGUGCUUCAUCUGCAACCAACAAGUGCAAUCAAUAUAUGACAAAAGUUUACAAGAGGAACUGAAAGAAAAAACCAUGGGGGGGAAGGAUAAAGUAAUCAAGUGGAUGGUGAACAAAGAGAAAAAUUACAGCAAAGAGAGUGAGGAUGUAUGCUCCAGCAGUAACACCCAUACACAUCACAGCACUAAGUCUGGGAGAAAGAUAAAGAAGAAGAGUAAGUCAUCAGAUCCGUGCAUAUUCAUUUCGGAUAGAGCUCAAGUGUAAAACAAAUAAAACAGCAAAGCAUCAGACCAGUGGAAUUCAAAACUUUAAACAAGUCGAAGUUAUUAAAAAAAAAUUGAAGAUAGCCAAAAGGAAUAUCGAAUUACCCAAAAUAGUUAAGAACUUCAGCAAUUUGAUCUGCUAAGUCAUCUGCAGAAAGUACAGGAUCAUCAGGGCAAAUUGCAGCAGCUCCUAACUGCAACUCUUGAACAAGGUCCCAUUAUGAGAAGAAUUCAUGUGGAAGUAAAAAAGACAACGUACUUGUUGGAAAGUUCAGUUUCAUUGAAGCAACACCAAAAAAAAAUUACACAGUAGAUUAUUUUGUACAUAGCAUAGAUUAAAAGAAAUUCACUCGUACAAAGUAAUUUAUUUUAUGUAUGUGUGUGGAAAAAAAAAUAAUGACAUCAGUAGAGAUAUUAGAACAUCCCAAUUAUACAAACCUCGUGUCCGGGAGGGCUGAUAUGAUAUAUGCAAAAGUUGUGAAGCAAUAACGAACAAGCUUCUGGACAAAACAUUAAUCCUUGGAAGCAGAACAUAUCUGAUAAAUAAUAAAACAUAGCACGUUUAAACAUUGGUAACAGGAAAAAUUAAAGAAAGAUUCUAAAAAUCAAAGUCACAAGUCAUAGAAUCAUUUCAUUUUAACCCCAUAUCACAAUUUAUUAACCUUACUAUCCUCUUUAAAUAACUUAUUUUUGUCUAUUUUCAAAGAAUAAGCUUGUCUAAUAAAAAUAAUGGAUUUCAAAAGCUACUAUUAAAAGAUUUAACAAUUAUGUGGGUGAAAACAAACCAAAAAGGCAGAUGUUCCAGCAAAAGGACUGUAGAUAAUAGAGGUAAGAAUAACCAAUAUUCUGGAUUCCAAAAAAUUCAACACGUUAAAUUUAAAACAAAAACUCCAUCUAAUCAACCUUAAACUCCAAAGUGUGUCUAAUUUAUUCAAAGACUCCACUUCUACACUCAAAAUCAUGUUUUGAAUAACAAUUUACAUGACACAUUCUACAUACUCACGAUUUAGAGCUAAAUCGGGAUAAGUGAUUAAAGCUGGCUUGUCCAGGUCUCCAACCACGGUGACAGAAACAACACCAUAACAGGUUUUCACAAGAUACUCCUGCCAAAAAAAAAUCGAUUGAAGAAAUAUUAGUUUUCAAACGUAGUCAUCUGAACUAGAGAAUGGACGCACCAAAAAAAGGCGGCAAGUAAUACAGAACCAUAAAAUGAACUACUAUAAAAAGGGAAUUGCAAAAGCUUAAAUAUAAGGAAAUUCGCAGUUGAAGACGCAAACAAUAAAACAGAUUAAAGAAAGUUAGUCUACUAAAAUUCAAAAUGUAUUUCUAAACUAGUAAAAAUCCCAACAUCCAUCCACUUUUGGUAGACCGUUGAAUUCCGAACGAAAAUCAACACCAAUUACCCUUAGAAAAUCUAACUAAAAUCAACAAUGCACAUCCAAAAACCUUAAUUACCUCCGUGUAAAACGAUCACUAAUUACACGAAUUCAUCCAAUAAAAAACAUAACGAACCCCAUGUUUCAAUUCAAUCCAAACUUCCCAGCAUGUUCUCAAAAAGCAAACAAAGCACAGUGUUCAAACACAUGAAACCAGACGGAUUUACACAAGCAACAGGAAAUGCAGGUACCUUUCCUCCACAAGAGAUCGACUCCAUAUCCACCGAAACCGAGUCGCUCGAAUCCCCCAUUUCCUUCUUCCCUUAUUCUCUCACCUUUCUCUCUUCCCCUAAAUCCUCCUUCCCUUAUUCGCUACUCAAUACACAGAAUGCUCCUUCUUCCUUUUAUAUACCACCAAAUCUCUUCAACAAUUCCACCACUACAUUAUUUGGGGGAAAAAUUUCAACUCGUCCCUUCGAAUCGUCCGAGUCAAUACGAGUCACCGACGCCGCGUUCCCCUUCCAUCGCACAUUGACAGAAACCUCACGAGCGCCCUGUAACGAACAAACUAUAACCCGAUACCCUGGUUGGUUUAACCAUGGUUAGGAAGCCGACAGUUUAUUUGAAAUUACUUAAAUACCCACAAUUUCCCUUGACAGCGACCUCCUCUCUUACCACAUGAAAAAGGGCGAUUUUCGUCUAUUCACGUUGAUUUUUUAAUUAGUAAUAAAGAGGGAAAUAGUAAGUAGUUAAGCUUUGACUAAGGAAGAGAUAAAAUGAAAAUAAAAUUAAUAUAAGGGAAGUGUUAUUUUUAUUUGUGGGACCUGCGUUUAUUUAAAGUAACGUAAUCAUUUAUAUUAUAAAGUAUAUAAUCUGUCACAAAUUUUGGGGAGAGGUUUUUCCUUAUUUUUCUUUUUUCAAUUAUUCCAUUUAUAAUAUGGUAUUGUAUUUUUGUUAUUUAUUGCAUUGCCUAAAAGUGGGGAGUGGAUUUAAUGAAAAUAAUUUUAGAGGAUCUACUUGUUUUUAAAUUAGUUUCUGUUUUUGUUAAUUUUGUUUAAUUACUUUUUUUUGUGCAUAAAUACAGUUGAGUUUUUAAUAGUAUUGUUGCACCAUUAAAGUUAAAACCUUUUCUUCUUCUUUUUCUUUUUAAUAAGGUUAGUUGUCAUAUACCAUAUUUUCUUGCCCUAAUAGAUUUCAUCCGUUUAUUGAAUAAUAAAUUAUUGCCUUUUUAAUUAAACUUUCUAUAAUACUCUAAAAAAAUAUCAUUUCGGGAUGAUUUUGUUUGGUAUAGGUGUGAAAAUGAUAGAUUGAAUCUCCAACUUAGUGAAGUAUAUGUGAAACAAAGUUCAACUGACAUUAGAUGUGUAUUGUCACAUUCUAUGUUAAAGGAUACCGAAUUCAUGAAUCUUCAAAACAAAAAACAUUAAACAAUAACAUGCAUCCAAACUAUUGUAAUAUUUUCGUGUGAAUGGUGUUGCUUGAGCGAACAUUUUUUAUAAAUAACAAUGAUGAAAUGUUACAAUUCUAAAAAAAAAUAACUAAAUUUUUUUUCAAUUUUUAUUACCCUUUAUUUUAUUAAAGAAAUACCAUUGAAACCCUUCUUAGAGAUUUUACUUACAGUGUCAAUUAUUUACGUAUAUACUUAUAGAACAAAAUCAUUAAAAUAUAUAAUUUGUUAGGUGUAAAUACAUCCUUAAAUGUUAUAUUUUUUUACGAAUUUUUCCUUAAAUUUGUAUAGAUUUAAAAAUAUUUGAUGUUAUAAGUUAAUAAAAGAAAAUGGUUGAAAAAUGGAAGAAUGUCCACGUGUAAAACAUAAGUAAAGAUCUCGACCGUGUAAUGUUUUAAGGAAUGCAAUCGAAAUAUUUUAUCUUUCAAAUAAAAUAAUACAAAAAGUAAAAAAGAUAUAUAUAUAAUAUAUAUAUAUAUAUAUAUAUUAAUAAUAACAUUAACAUAAUAUGUUUAAGAGAAGUGGAAGCAUAUAAUAUGUUAUCAUUCUUAUCCUCUUUUCUCUUUAUGCUUUACUCUGUUUUGGAAUUUUGGUCCACUAAAGAUAAGUGAAUGCUUCUUUCUUUCUUUUUCUUUUGAAAUAUUGAGAGAAAGAAAUGGUUGAUCAAAAUAUUAUAAUAAAUAAGUAAAAUACAACAUUUUGUUUUAUAUAUGCACGUUAUAUAUUUCACUAGGUUUGGAAAAUGAUGCGAUAUAUGUAACUCUAGAAUAUCAAACGUGGAGGAAUUUUAUUUGCUUAUUUGAUAAAGUUCUUUUAAGUUGAAAAGUUCACGUUAGUUUGUAAUUAAAACUUAAAACAUCGUAGUAAAGAUGAGAAUUAUCUUAACACAUGCAAUGUAGUGCAUCGUUUCUCAUCCAAACUUCAUUGUAUUGUUUGUUCUUCGUACUUCAUAUUGCAAGUGUAUUUUUAAGGUUUUUUUUUUCGUAAAUUGAUAAUACAAUUGCAUCAUACAAUUAAGCUAAGUUUGUUUGUUCUUUUAAGCAAAUUAAAAAUUAACAUGGUGUGUCUCGUACUGUUUUAAUUUUAGUUAUACUUGUUAAUUGAACAUUAUUAGACAAUUUAAUUCAAUAGUUGAUUUGUUAUAGGAUACCUUAUUUAAAUUAUAUAUUUAUUAUUUUGUUGAACGAUGAAUCGAAGACUAAUAUAAUACAUAUGUGAUUAUGUAUUUUUUUUCAAAAUGUGAAUAUAUUGCUAUAUUUAUUUGUUAUAAUAAAUCUAUUUACAUUCGAAUAAAAAUAACUAGUGAAUUUUGUAUCUUUUCAUUUAAUUUGUCUUCUAUAUCUCACAACAAUUGUCAUGCAUGGCAUGAGUUGGUCCCACGAAAUUAAAACAGUGAAUUGAUUGAGCAAAAUAACUAAGUUGGAUUUUGAUGGUUAUUAAGCAACGAUAAAUCACACAAUAAAUUAGAUAUUCGACGUGCUCUUAAGAGCAAUAUAGAAAGUAGAUAGUUAUUACAAGAAUAAACGAUGAAAUCACGUCAACAAAGUAAAAAGAAAAAGAAAAAACAACACAAUAAUGUUGAAAUUUUUGUUUAAUCAUAUUUUAUACUUUAUCAUGUCAAAAAUUAAUUAUGUACUCUCCAUCAACAAUCUUAAAACAAAGUCUUUAGUUUUGUAUAAAAAAAAAUUGAUUAAUAAAAACAAUUAAAUAUGGUAUAAAGUAAUUUAUAUAAUAAACCUUUACACAAUUUAAAAUUAAUAAUAAUGCAGUAAAUCGUGAUGUUAUUAGUAAAGGAAUGGACAAAAAAUCGCACGCAUGUGUCACGUGAUUAAUUAUUAAAUAGUAAAAUUAAACAUACCAAAUCACAUAAUGAUUUUAAGGUUGGAAAAUGAAUAUAUUUAACCAUAAAGUGUAGUUAGGUGAUGUUAUUAUUUUGGAAUUUAAAUGGGACAUGUAGUGCCUUUCCUUAAACUAGAAACCAUGACCAAAAAAAUUACUGAGGACGCAAAAAACUAUGCUAUAAAAUAAAAAGCAACGUCUGAAUUGAAGUUCUAAUGUCCUUCCCCCAUCAACAACAACCAUUAAUAGCUCCACCCCAACUCAACACCAAAAUCCUUUUCCAAGUUUAAUCCUUAGAUCUACUCAUCCAUUCUUUGUUAUACUAAACCUUUUUCACUGUUACAUCAAUUUUUUCAAAAGGUUCUAGAGUCAUCAUAUGACGUUGAAUUUUAUUUUUUUUCCGCUAUCUUCUUUAUCAAGUUUGAAAGGUGGUUCGAUUUUUCAUUUGGUUUAUAUAUCUAGAUAUCAAAUUGAACCAAGGAGAUUUGUUGUAUAUAAAAGAAACCACGUCGAUGUACAUAACAAAAUAAAAAAUCAACUUUUAUUCGAUUCAAUCGACUUUUUUCUUUUGAAAAAUUAAAAAAAUAGCAAAUUUUACAAAAUAUUUACAACUUAUAGUAAAUUUUGUAAAUUCUAGUGAUAGUCACCAACCAAUAGAAUCCAAAUUUUUGUUAUAACUUAUAAAAUAUUUUAGUUUAUUUUGUUAUUUUUAAAAAUUGUAUUCUUUUUAUUUAUCAAAAAGGAAAUAUAUGACUUUUUAGACUAUAUAUAUAAUAAUAACAAAAAAAGAGGGAGAAAUAAGAGAAAUAUGUAAUAAACUAUUUUUGUCUUCUUCCCAUUUAGCUUGCUAGUGCAUGUAACCUAUAUUCUAAGAAAUAAAGGGAAAAUAAUUAUAUUGGGGACUUUUGAAUGGAGAUAGCUAUCUGUUUACAUUAAUUUCAACAUUUACAAGUAAAGCCAUAAACAAUUAAUAUUGAUGAAUUUAUAUGUGAAAAAGCUACCAUAUAUAUUAAAUAUAUAGUUUAAAUUAUGCUAUAUAUUUAUGUUUCUUGAAAUGGAAAACAUGUUAGGAUGGUUACGUUAUUCAUUUUUAACUUUCCUCCUUGAUUUAUGGUUGCAAAAUUCAUAAUAUAACUUUUAAUAAGUUGACUAUAAAAAUCAUUAGAUGUUAUUCGAAUAAUAUCGGUUAAAUUAGAAUAAUAUAACACAUUAAAAAUAUUUGGACACACCAUAAGAUGCCCAAAUUAAAUGUUUAACUAAUACAAAUUAUCUUUUUAUUGUUUGACAACUUAAUUUAAUUUAAAGAGGAAAUUUCUAAUAUAAUAGUUUCAAAAUUGUUGACCACCUAGGCCGCUACUAAGAAUCGUGUGGAAUCUAUAAUUUAUUAAUUAUAAUAAUUAAUGGAAAUGGUAGGUAAUAUAAACUUCUACUAGUAUCUCUUAAAGUUUAAAUUUACUAUAAAGAAAAUUAGAAUUUGAGUGGAAAUUAAAUGGUCUUGAAUUUGGAAAGGUAAUUAAUUCACCUAAAUGGAUAAACAUCUAUAAUUUUUCUUUUUCUUUUCCUUCCAACUCGUAGGCACCUUACUAUGAUGCUAUAUCGAAACUAUACUAAAAUUAGAUGUACUUAUAAAUAUUUUCUAAUAUGCUCUCACUGAUUCCAUGUGAACCCCAAAAGGAAAAAAAAACGUUAAACUUAACCAAAAAAUCAAAAGUAAUUAAGUAAAAUCUCAUCGUCAAUUAAUUUCAAGUUUGGUAUCAUGGUCGAUAUCAGACCAUGUUGAAAAUUUCACACAUUGAACAAACUAAGAAAACUCACACUAAUACACAAUAUAAACCUUGAAUGAAACAAUAAGUAGAUAAAUAUCUCGUUACUCGAACAAAUCAUAAAUAGAAGAUGUGAAAGGGAAUUGAAUGGGAGGGAGGGAGUGAGUGAGAGAUGUUUUUAAAAAGGAAGAAAUAUUUUUGGGAAAAUGAGAGAGGGGGAGAAAGCAAUUAAAAGCAUGGGGGGGACAAUUAAUGACAUUAAUUGAGAGUAGAGGCAUAAAGGUAUAGAAGGAAAGGGGGAUUGGAAAGAAGAAGAAGAAGAAAUGCAAUAAUAGCCAAUGGCAAGCAUGUGAGUGUCCUUAACAAAAGCAUUGAAAAUUGAUUGCCCAAAUGAAAUAGUUUUACUUCUGAUUUGGCGCUCUUUUUGCUGCGGCUAUCGCGUUCACAUGUGCUUCUUCCCCCCUCCCCUCGCCCCCAUAUGUUGCUUACCACUGCCCUAACUUCAAUCCUCCACCGACACAUUUCAAGCCCUUUUUCUUUCCUCUUUUCAAAUAUCAUCCCUACCUCAUCUUUCUUUAUUAUAACAAAUUAUUCUAAACUCUAAUUCAAUAUUUAUAAAAUGUAAUAAAAUUUUAGAUUUUGUAGUGAUAAACGUUUAUGAAAGACUGUUACCGGCUUGAUGAUUUUUGUUAUAUUUGAAAAUACUCAACUUAAUAUCGCUUUUCUUUUAAUAUUUGAGGUUGAAUGUAUGUUAAUUAAUUCGUUUUUCGUUAAUUCUUAGACACUAACGUUAAACAACAAUUAGAGCUAGUAUAUAUUUAGUACCAACUACAAUUGAAAAAAAGUAUAAUAUAUUGAAAUUUUUUAUAAUAAUAAUAAUAAUUUAUAAUUUGUUUUCAAAUCCGAAUAAUUAAUAGACUAAAGUGACCAUUAAUUAUCAAAUAUUGGUUUGGGAAUCAAAACAGAGAGACGUAGAUUAGAUCACAAGUGUGGAUAGUGGAUAAAUAAAUUAGAAGGAUAGAAUAUUCAAUUCAUUCAAACCAGAAACAUUUGAAUAUGGUUCAUUAAUUACUCAUUAUAUUUUAUCUUCGUGAAAUUUAAAUUAACUAGUAUUUAACCAUUUUUCAGUAAAGAUUUGAUCGAAUCUUGAAUAUUUUGGUUCUCAACACAUACAAGUACCAAUUGAAUUUAAUUUUUAUGAAUGAUUCACCAAUAUUACGUUGAAAAAAGCGUUUAAAUUUGUUUCUUUUAAAUAUUGCAAAAAUAAAUUCAAACCAUAUACACUCCCUGUCCUCAAGUAUUUUUUAUAAACCAUAUUAUAUAUAUUAUUAUGUAUUUGUGUAAUGUGUCGAAUAAAUAGUUGGAUGAAUUUUUGCUAUAUUUAUAAUAUAUGGUUUGAAUGUUUGAUAUUAAUGGGUAUUUGAUGCAUAACCAAUCAUUAAAUAAGAAAGAAGAAAAAGGGAAAAAAAGGGGUUCUGCCCAUAAUAAAAUACGUGCCGACAAUUCAAUUCACACUCACCUCUCUAAGCUUCAGAAUAAUUAUUAAAUGGUGGGCUAAUGAUAAAUAGAAAAUAGUAAAACUAUCAAAUUUUUUUUUUUAAUUUCUAUCUCAUGCAUUAAACUAUGUAACAUUAUUAGUCCUAUAGUAACACCUCAACCAAAGCUUAUGAUAUUUAUUUUGACAUUACAUUGAUAUAUUUGAUAAGGUCUCUUAAUCAAGGAUUCUUGAAUGUUAGCUUUUAAUAUGUAUUUGCUUGCAGUGGAUUUUUUAAAUACUUUGUUGUUGUUGUUUUUUUUUUAUAUAAUUAAUAUUUGACUAAAUUGAAAAAGAACACUCAAGUAUUAGUAUAAGUUGAACAAAUUCCUAUUUGUUUUGAUUUAUUAGAAAAAACUAUGGGCCUGGCUGUAGCUCAAUCGUACUUAGAUUACGGGCCGUUCUAUAAGGCACGGUUGGCAGAGCGUAGGCCCAAUACUUGGUGCUUAUUGCUCUGCCUCUGCUUUGCGAAUUGUUUUUGUGAUCCAAAAUACAUCUUAAUUUCUAAACUUGAGGUGCCGAUAGAUAAGUAAUAUGUGACUACUGAUAUUCGACGUAGAGAAAAGUAGUUAUUGACUUACGAAUAAACGUUAGGAAAACAAAGAGUAAAAUCAAAACAAACAUUAUCAAGAAAUGAAAAGAAAAAGUUUGUAUCAAGUGUGUAUCGUGAGUCACUUUUGUAAUGUAAGUUGGCAACAUAGAUUAACAUUAACAUAGAUGAUUCGUACUAAAUUUUGUAGUACUCGAUAGUCAAACUACAAAAUCUAAAAGUGUUUUUUCUUUGAUUAAAUUUUCUAGAUGAUUGGAAGUAAGUUUUAUUCAAACGAGGCAAGAGCAAUAAUAUUACGAAACAUCGAUUUAGUGUUUGUCAAGUCAGUUUUGCAAAGUUUAUCACUACAAAUUGAGUAAAUAUAAUAGAGUCACGUUUUGAAGGCCAUAUGUUAUAUGAGUUAUUUCAAUUGAAUAUACGAAACAACCAAACUCGUAAAAUUGUAAUUUAUUUACACUUUGUAACGUGGAGGAAAGAAAACCUGGAAAAAAGAAUCUAAUGCCAAGUCAACGAUGAGAUGAAAAAUAAGUCAUAAGUUGUUAGAUACAUCAGGUAAAAGUAUCAUAAUAACUUUACUAUUUUCUCAUGGAGGAAGGAUAAGAUAAAUUCUUCCUAUUUCUAAUAAGUUAGGGUAAGAUUUUAUUUUAUAUUUUAUUGACUCGUGACUUAUUCGAUAACGUUAAAUUUUAUCUCGAACGCAUGCAAAAGUUAUAUAUGGUAUGGGAAUAUUAUUUUUAAAAAAAUGUAUAAAUUAGAACCGUAAAAUUGUAUACAUAAAUAUGAAAAGGGAAAAUAAAUGAUUAAAGAAAUAAGUGAAGUAAAUAUUUGAAGCUAAAAAAAUAUUAAGAUUAAGUUAGAAGGAAAAAAUAUCGGAAGAGGAGAGAGACAUAGAGGGCGCCAGCGGGAUGAUGCUAUAAAUAUAAAUUCCCUACGCCAAAGGCGUGGUCAUUUAUUGAAAGGAAACCCAUCCUCUUUCUUGCCGUCCUCCGCUUUUCUCUUCUUUUAGGGUUUCUCUCUCAAACUCUUAACAAUGGCUGACGAAGCUCAGUAUUCAUCUGCUACUGAUACUCCUUCCAACAAGCGCAAGUACGAUGACCAACCUCCACCCCGCCGUCCAACUGGCUUUUCCGGUCCCAUCACUUCCCCUUCAUCCGAUUCCGCUCCCUCCUACAACAACGUCCCUCCCCCUAUGGAUGAGAUCCAGCUCGCUAAGCAGCGUGCUCAGGAGAUUGCCUCUCGCUUGAUUAUCUCCAGCGGUGGCGUUGGGGCUGGUGCUGGACCUGGCGUUGGAGCAGAUGUCAAACGUCCGAGGGUUGAAAACGGCGGCGGGUAUGACUCCUACGACAAGGGUUUUAGUUCUGGUCCAGGUGAUUAUUGUUUUGAUUUUUUUUAUCUUUGUUUGAAUAUUUCAUGGUCUUGCGUGUUUGUCGAAGGUGUAUUGAUUUUCUCACGACUCAGUGAGCUUAAAGUGAGUCAGGUCUUGUAUAUGGGAAGAAAAUAAGUGGGAACACUCGGAGAAAAUCUUGUGGAGUGCUAGUUAUAUAUUUCUUGUUCACAGGGAGUGGGUUGUGUACAAAAAGGUCCAGUGUUCGUGAUUUUCUAGAAGUGGCGUGCACUUUCUUUUAUUGCAUUUGGAGUAGAGCAUACGUAGGGGGAUGAAAUGAAGGUUUCUGGAUUUCAGUUUAGUGGUUUAGAUAGAGCUCUCUCAGUUAUCAGAAUGCCUAUGUUCCAUGUUCUUUUACCCUCGUUUCCUGUAAUAAUAACUUUAAAAUGUGCUGGUGAUGUAUUACGGUUUAAAAGCAAGAAUUGUGUACAUGUUUGGAUGCUCAUUGGUGAUCUUGAUUUGUGUGGAUGCAGACCUGAAGCCUCACAUGUCAAAUUCAGCCCCUUCAGCGAUACCUAUUUCCUAUGGUUUCCAAGGGUCAAGCAAGAAAAUUGAAAUUCCAAAUGGGAGAGUAGGCGUAAUUAUUGGUAAAGGUGGUGAGACGAUCAAGUACCUUCAGCUCCAGUCUGGGGCAAAAAUACAAGUUACUCGUGACAUGGACGCAGAUCCCAACUCUACUACUCGGAUGGUUGAGCUAAUGGGCACCCCUGAUCAAAUUGCCAAGGCUGAGCAGCUGAUAAAUGAUGUUCUUUCUGAGGUUGGUCUUUUCUUAAUUUUGGAAUUUCAUGGUGUGCCUUUGGGAGCGGCAUCAAUAUAAGUUUGUGGUUUCCUGUUAUAACGUUGACAUGCCAUGUAGCAAUACAUUGGUUUGGAUGGAUAAUGGAUUGACUACAGCCUUACCAAGUUUACAACUUUGAACUUUAUUUAUGGGCAAUAUGUUAUUCAUACGUCCGAUGCAAAAUAUGAUUGUAGUUGAAGAUAAGACUUUUUACUUGGCUUGAAAAUGUGUUUGUCUCAUAAAAUUUAUCAUUUGAAACAGGCUGAAUCUGGCGGUUCUGGCAUAGUAUCACGAAGACUAACAGGCCCUUCAGGAUCUGAGCAGUUUGUUAUGAAAAUUCCUAAUAAUAAGGUUCUCAGAAACAUUUGUUUUGGAAUUACCAAGUAUUGCUUGUCUAUCUUGGGAAUGUAAUUCUGUUCACUUUUUGUACUUCUGAUCGUGAAAAUAUUAAUUUUUCUAGGUUGGCUUGGUUAUUGGUAAAGGUGGUGAAACAAUCAAAAGUAUGCAAGCUAGGACUGGAGCACGUAUCCAGGUCUGUUCUAUCUUUAUGUGUAUAUAUGUAUAUAUUACAUACGUCUUUUAGAAGGCUUCCCAAAGCUAACUUCCGUUCCUUUUUAUUUCAAUAGUGCAACUAAUUUUCACUUUCUUUGGUCAUGUAACAUAGAACAUUGUUUUGAAUUUUGAUUGUAUGGCAAUAUCUACUCUUCUUUUCUGUAGGUGAUACCAUUGCACUUACCCCCUGGGGACACAUCUACAGAAAGAACCUUACAGAUUGAUGGUUCAAGUGAACAGAUUGAGUCAGCAAAACAGUUGGUUAAUGAAGUUAUCAGCGAGGUGCGUUUGCAGAUCUGGGUUACAUAUUUAUUUUGCCUUGUUGUAGUUGGAAUUAAUACCUGGUUAACACCUACUUCCAUUUAUUUUUGUGUUUAUAAUGAUUUUUCCUGCUUGUCUUUGGUUAUUUUUUAUACAACUGUUGAUGCAACUGUUCCAUCUUAUUCUGAAACUCCUUUAGUUCUAUUCUCACAAAAAAAAACUCCAGUUUUAUUAAUUUUAGGGUUCUACCUCAACGCCAAGGUCAGCAUUAAACCAGUGGUGUUGAUUGGACGUUGGCAUAUUUGCUUUCCUUACCUUGUAGUUUACAUUAUGCUGUGAUAUGGGAGGCAUCUGGUAUUCAUUGGCUUAAAUUAUACCUCCAGUUUUAUUUAGAAAAUGAUAUCUGCUUCUUGUUCUUGUUCUUUUUUUUUUUUGGUAUUAUGUUUCUCUUUCAAAUUAUGUUUUCUUACACAGGCUUGUUACCUUGUUUUAUUUGUUAUAAUUUUGUAAAAUCAUUCUACAACAUUAUGCUGCUUUUUAUUUCUGGGAGGAAAUAGUUGAGAAAAAAUUCCCGUUUUUAUGUGGUUCUGUCGGACAACUGACUCAACAAGAAAUUGAUUUAUUUUUUUCCUUCACUAAUGGUACUUCUUGGCUCUUCUUAAUUUUACUCUACUAGUGUAAUGGAUCUUCUACAAUUUCUGGCUUAAACACUAUACAAUAUGCUCAGCAUAUGGUGUUCUUGUUCCUUUAACGAACUAUUAAUCUGCUGCUGUGUCUGCAAAUCUGCAAAAUCAUUUAUUGCUAAUGCUAAUGCACUCAUGCUCUGCUAAUAUGCAUUAGCAUUUUGACUACAGUAGGAAGGCUUGUUCUCUCACUGUGCUCAUACUUUCGUCUUUGAGGGGGGCUCCCUUCGUAGGUCUAUGGAAUCAAAUGCUGCUUUGUGGUUUCACUCAAGGAAUUAGAAACAUUGGAAUAUUUCAGCCUGUUAUACUUUUAGAUCUCUUAUAGAUUGAGACAGCUUUUAGGUCUUUUACCCCUAAUCGAUCUGGAUUUGUUAUUAUAUCUGCAAUUGUUUAUUCUAUAUAUCCACUAAUGCAGAGAUGGAGGACAUAAGGUUCUGGGAUUGGAAAGAGGUGAAAUUAUUUUACAGAUUACUGCUUGGUAAUUUUUUGAAGAGUGAUUAUUGUAUCAGAAAGGUUCCCAUUGGUGAUUUGCUGGCUCCUUUGGAUAUUUCAGUUUAUCAGUCAAAUAUUACUCUUAUUAGGUUGUUUAGGUUAUAUGAUAUCUCUCCUAUUUAAGAUGUUAUCAGCCCAUUUGGUAUUAUUCUUGGUUUUAUAUCUAAGUGUUAUAUUAUUGGGAUUAUGGCCUGUUCAACCGUCACAUGUGCUUAUUAAUUAUGUAUCCUGCAACUGAUAUUGUUAUUGGGAACUAUUGUAGGGUUAGGGUUAUUGGACCAUUAGUGACACCAACAUGGAAUCCUUUAUGUUGGUGUUCUCUCAACGUUGCUCUGGUAUGGUUCUGAAUCCCAUAUUAUAAUGAUAUAAAGUGAUGAUGUGGAGAGAAGUUGCAGGUUUAUCUGUUGGAUAUUCAAGGUCUUUAGUAAAAUUUGAAAAGUCACCUUACCAUUCUAUCAUUCUUUUUCUGGUGGUUUACUUUGAUUUGGGAGAGUUUCAUCUUUUAGUCUAUAAAUUAUUCAUUUCUUAAUUGUCUAUUUACUGUGCGUACCAUUUGUGAAAUUAUUUUAGUUUAAUAUAGGCAUGCGGGUUAAUUUGUUGGAUAACUGUACUAUGAUGUAUUUUUGGUACUAUCAUAUUUUAGUGGCAACAUCACCUGAUCGUUCAGUGAGUCCGCCUUUGAUGGAUAUUCCAGAAAGUCCUUUAGACUCCUGUUUUGGUUUAAUUAGUUAUUAUUAUAUGUUUUCCACCAAAAAGAUGAAUUCUCUAAUUAUUAAUUUUUUUACUUAAAUUGACCUUAACAUUGUUCUUGUAAUUGAAGAAUAUUUUCUUGUUUCAAUCUUUAUGGGCUAUCUUUAGUUACUUUGGAGAUUAUGGAUCGUUUCUUACAAAGGUCUGUAUAUGUCAGUGUCUUCUUUUUCAUCGUCCAAAUUGCUUUUCAGCUUUUUUGGAAGUAUUUUUCUUUACAAUAAUUUGCAAUCAAAAUUCUUUUGACUAUAAAAUAUUUUUCACUUCAUAUUCUAUUGGUGUCUGAAGAUAGUGUAUGGGGUUGUUUAGUUUUAGCUUGAUAUCCAACUAAUUGAUUAUUCUAUAGAAGAUUUAAUAAUUGGGGAAGACAUUGCUUUUGUUGUGCUUUGCUAUGAACUUCUUUGCCUUUUGGGGCAAUUAAGUUCAUAUAUUCUGUUCUGUAAAAGCUUUUGUAGUCGUCUGGUUCUCUUUGCACCCAUUCACUUCGAAUAGGGAGAGGUUGAGCUUCUGCUGGAGUAACUCAAUAACUCAUCAUCCAGUACGGUAUGUUGGUGUUUUAUACUCUUCCUAAUGCAGUAUAAGCUCCUUUAAUCCCUCUACAAAACAUACUGACUAUGGUUUUCUUUUUGCAUAUCCUUGAUUUCAGAUUUGGCAUUUUCUUUCCAUUUCGCAUAAUGCAUAUGAAUGUUGUGCUUUCCUCUUCUUACCAUCCCCUACGUUGGUUUCUUACGUUAAUUGAGAAGGAUUCACCUUUGUUUUCAUUUUUAUGUUUAAUCUCUCAGAAUCGCGCGAGAAAUUCAGGUAUGUCAGGCGGGUAUAAUCAGCAAGGUUAUCAAGCUCGACCCCCUUCAAGUUGGGGUCCUCCUGGGGCUCCACCAAUGCAGCAGCCUAAUUAUGGCUAUGGACAACAAGGCGGAUAUUCUGCUCCUUCGUCUCAGUAUAACAUAUCACAACCUCCUUAUCAGGGUUAUUCCCAACCAGCAUCUGGUGGAUAUGCUUCCAAUUGGGACCAGUCUACUGUUCCGCCAAAUCAACCUGCUACUCAAGGAAGUGGUUAUGAUUACUACGGUCAACAGGCUCCACAGCAACAACAGACAGCUGGAGGCCCUGGUGCUACCGGAGACAACAGUGGUUAUAGUUAUGGUCAACCACCAGCCACUACUUAUAAUCAACAGGGUUAUUCUCAAGAUGGCUAUGGUGGUAAUUACCAUGCACCUCAGUCUGGUUAUGGCCAACCGCCAACAUAUGAUCAACAGGGUUAUAGUUCUACCACAAACUAUGGUAAUGUGGCUAACGCCACUCAAGAUGGGCUCAAUUCGUAUGGCUCUCAAGGGGACUCAUCACAGACGGUCCCUCCUGCUGCACCACAGCCCUCUUCAGUGAGUCAGCAAGGUUAUAGUGCAAAUCAACAGCCUAGCCCUAACCCAGGGAGUUACCCUCCACCAAGUCAGUCGGGGUAUGGAAUGACUGCACCUUCCCAAACUGGCUAUGGAAAUCAACCUGCUGCUCAGGCUGCUUAUGGGGCUGCUUAUGGAGCUCCUCAGACUCAGAAACAACCUCCUACUAAUCCUCCAGCCUAUGGUCAAAGCACUCAGUCACCAAGCACCGCUAGUGGCUAUGGGCAACCUGCUGGAUUGCCAUCUGGAUACUCAAGUACGCAGCCACCCGCAUCCGGGUACACUCAACCAGAUUCUGCUUCUCAACGUGCUCCACCAUCCAGUUACGGCACUGCUGCAGCUCAGCCAGGGUUUGCGCCACCUCCAUAUGGUGGUGCUCCUCCAACAAAUCAGUCAGCUUACGGGCAAGCUCCACCACCUUAUGGUGGCUCUUAUGGUGCUGGUUACCCUCAGCCCCAUUAUUCAUCUGAAGGUAAUGCAGGUGGUGCUACUCGUGGGGGCUAUGAUUCUGCAUCAGCUGCUCAGGCAGCGACCCAAAGUGGGGUUGCAAAAGCAUCACCAAAAAGUUGAUAAUAUUGUAUGUGUUUGCUUAGGUGUGUAUGUUGCGGAGAACGUAGCUUUGUUUUUGUGGUUUUUAUUAGACAGGUAGUUUUAUGAGACCUCAUUAAUGCCCGAAUUCUUUACUGUACUUUGUUUUGCUAUGGUUAAAAACGGUUCUGGAGUUUUGUCUCUCUUGAACAAAACACUCUUUCUCUACAGGCGGUGGCGUCUCCUUGAUGAUUUUGAUUUUUGAUUGUGGCGUUGGGGAUUAAGACUGUUUAGGAUUAUUGUAACUUUAAGCUACGGAAAUGGUAAAAUAGCAUUUAUUAAAUAAAAUGUUAGAUAUGAAAAAUUCUUAUUUCAAAUGUUUAUAUGAACUUAUAGCAAAAUAAUACAAAUACAUCUUUUAACAGAUCUACUUAUUCAAAAAAUUAUUAUAAUACUUUUUUCUAUUAAAAUUUAUGCGUUGUAAAAUAUUGAUGUGUGAUAUAUUGUUAUAGUAAAGCUGAAUCCUUUACUUCCAUGUGUGAUACAUUGUUAUAGUGAAUAUAAAUACAGAAGUACACUUGGAAAAACGGAAAAAUGUGUAUGGCAGGUGAACUUCUAUUUCUUUUCUCAGGUAAAUAUAAGUCUAACCCAAAAAAAUUCGGAUCUCUCCCCGCUGUAUCCUAGAUUCUUGUAUAGUUUAAAAGAAAUUAUUCCUAAAAGCCAUGAAUGCUUUGGGUGAAAGUAACAAGAUGAACGCAAGGACCGAACCAAAUAACAAUUUGAUAGCAUAUAGGAAGGGAUCGUGGUCAUCUGCAUCUGUUGAACUUGUGUGGGGUGCCAAUGCCGUUGCGGAUGGAAGGGCUUCAAUUACUGCAUCAGCCAAAUCUGAAAUGAAUGAAGAAUUGCAAUUGAGGGCAGGCACACGGCCCCAGUUUUGGAUUCCAGAUUCAAGUGCCAAGUGCUUAUACUCCAUAUCUAUCUCCUCGAGAGUCUCAAUGUGCUCACUCACAAAGCUGGGAAGAGACAAGUAAAACUAUUAUAAACAAAACGCCACCAGUGCAUAAGAAUAUCCAACUUCACUUAACACGCUUCACCUUCUCCAAGUCUUUCAAAACAAGUAAAACAAAUUGUAAACACGAUCAAACAGCAUACUGCUUAUAACCAGUUGAUUGUUUUAAAGCAAAAAACAGUUGCCUUUUUUAAUUUUGAAGAAAAACCACGUAAACAGCCAAUCUUUUGUGAUGAAGUUCAAAGUUGAGGAACGACCAAGAAAGCCCAAAAUUAUUCAAAGCACUUUGGGCCUAAGGUUCUCCAUCAUUAACACUAGCACAAGGAGUUCGAAAUAUAUAAUUGUCACGUGAAUUAACUUCAUUAAUAUUCACUCUAAGAUCAUAUGAGAACCAAGAUGAGAAGGAUCCCCUGGAAUUAUGAAGCUACAAGGAACCAAAAACCAAACAAUCAAAUUAACAGUUCGUCCUUUUAUGGUUUAUGAACAAGCCAUACCUCACGGGAACGGCUAGGAGACUCUUAAUACCCUUCUGGCCAAGCUCAACAAGAACUUCAUCUGUGUAUGGCUUAAGCCAUUGUACAGGUCCAACACGGCUCUGAAAAAUGUAAUACAUAACAAGAAUAAAAAACCACACGGAUGUAGUUAGGAAAACAAUGAAAUAAAAUGAUAGAAAAUCUGAAUAGUUGUUGGGGCUCAAAAUGUUAAAGAAAAAGAUAGGAAACCAUGCCAAGCUUCAAAUUUAUUACUAACCUGGUAUGCAAGAGUAUGCUCAUUCCCAAUUCCUCUGGCUUUCAGCUCUUGCAUGAUUAGGCAGAUGCACUCUUCCAUUUGAUCUUUGUAUGGAUCUCCAGCAUUCUCAACAUAACUGACGGGAACCCCAUGUGCACUAAAGAAAAUCAUGACCUAAGGUGCAAAUAAGUGAUGCUAUAUUAAGAACUAAUUGACUUGGACAUCCAUUGCUGCAUAAAAAUAAAGCAUCUCUCUAAAAUAAGUUUCAGCAAAAAUUAAGUACCUCUUGAGGAUUGGCAAAAUUCUUCAGCUCUGCCUGCAUCAAGUCAGCCAUUGACUUAAUAUACCCUUCCCGCUGGUACCAGGACUUUAUAAUUGAAACAGGCAACGAUGAGAGAUAUGCAUCUUCCCUGAUAGACAACUCAUAGUCAAUAAGUUAAGUUGGUAGCAGUAAUUUUUUUAAUAAUAACAAUAAAAUCAAAAUAUUAUAAUACUAGACACGAUCAUCACCUGAACAUCUUCUGGAGAACACGAAUACUAGACCCAGUUGUAGAAAUAGAGUACUGUGGAUACAAUGGCAGCACCACAAGUCUUGUUAUCCCAUCCCUCUUAAUCUGCCACACACAGCAAAAGGAACUACCAAUUUUAAACUUCAUUUCAAACAAUGCUUCAAACAAAAACGUGAGGUUACAGGCAUAUUAGGAAAUCCCGUGGUUGGUAGUAAUAUAAAAUUCUUCCCUCCAUUCGAAUUACAAGGCAAGGGGAAUAGAUAAAACAUAGAGCGUACUUGCUGAAUUGCUUCCUCUGUGAAAGGGUACCAAUAGCGCAUUCCCACAUAGACAUUAGUAGACAUGUUUUUCUCCUCCAAAGCCAUUUUAAGCGCUUGUGCCUGCAACAAGUAUUCACAAAUUAUCAAUAUUGAACAUUUGUUUUAUACCCAACUGGGAUAUGCCAUGAUGAACAAUUUGAAGGAAAUAAGAGAGGUCAAUCAACCUGUUCAUCUGUGAUUUUACGCAAAGGUGAGCCACCUCCUAUUGAAGCAUACCCUUCUUUGCUUUUGGGAGCACGGUAUGUAGAUAUUAAUUUUGCCAAUGGCUCUUGGAGGAAACGGAACAACCUUGGGAGUCGGAUAAUAUCCUAUGCAUCAUGAAAAGAAGUAAGAAAAAAGAGCUAUUGGCAUGUUAAUUUGUUGUUAAGACUAGUUGCAUUAAUUAACUAAGAUACCGGAUCUGCAAAUAGAUUGUACAGAAAUGGUUGGACAUCAUCAAGCGUUUCCGGCCCUCCAAGAUUCAAGAGCAGAACUCCCACCUUGUCAUCCACUGCCUGAGAUUGAGAUUCUAAAGCAAAUUCACCAACGGUGAAAGUUCCUACUGAGCAACAUGCUUGCCCCAGACGGCUUUUCUUCUCAAUGGGGCCAGAAAGAUGUAACCCCUGAAUUACAUCUCUGUCACCAUUGGAGCUAGAACAAGAAACCACUAAUCCUGUAGACCUAUCACGAACUUGCAGAUUUCCAGACGUUUUGCAAGAGAAAGUCACGCGAGAUUUCGGCAAAGAGCAUAACCUGAAAACAGGAAAAUAUACAUUGAAUUCCUAACUUCGACAAUAUAACACCUAAACCCCCCCUUAAAAUAUCAGUCACUGCCAUGACAUCCUCCAUACAAUAAAAUAACUAAGAAACUUCCUUCACAUCAACUCCAGCUACUAGAAUCCACGAUCACAUAACUUCACAUUGAUCGAACUAAAAGGACUGAUUCCAAGUAUACGACACGGGGUAACUUCAUCCAAUAAUCAACAUAGAGUUCAAAUGGGGGCGAAAUUUUAAAAGGGUACAAACGAUAUAAACCAAAAUCCAGAUUCCAAAGCAAGAAGAAAAGGUCGGUUAAGAAUUAACCGAUAAGGAACAUGAAGAAGAAGUGAUAUAAAAGAGAACUUACGAUGAAAUUCUUUGAUCCGAAUUGAGGGUAUUGGUGGAACCGUGAAGCUUGAUAUUGGAGAGGGCGAGAGAGGAAGAGGCGGCGUCCAUGGAGUCGAAAAUUGGAAGAACAACGAUCUAAAUCCAAAACCCGAGAAGAAAUUGAGUACAGAUAUGAGUGAGGAAGAAUGGGAUUGGUCGAUUAUAAAAAUUGGAGAAAUGGGAAACGUGGAAUCGGAAGGAGGAAGAACGGUAGAGAAGUCAAAGUUGGGGGAGGGAAGGAUCCGGGAAAUGGAAGCGCCAACCACUCUCCCAAGUCUCACCAUUAUAUAUUCAAAGUUUGUUUCGUGUUGAAGACUCAACGCAUCUACGUGUGGGCCGUACUCCUAACUUUCUUUAAUUUCUAAUUUUCAUCCAUAUAAUUAUAUAUAAAAAAAGUUAAAAUUUAAUUUCCAUAUUUAAAAGUUAGGAUUAAAAUAGAACAUAUUUAGUCAAAUUAAUAACUCGAGUUCCUCUUAAAUAUGUUCUUCGAUAUUUUUACAAAUCUCAUCUAAGUUCGAUGGUACUUAACUUAUUAAGUAGGAGUAAAAAUUGCUUAUUAAUGCUACAUAUCGCUACUAAAAAUUUAUCGAUAUCUAAAGUAACUAAUAAUUUUUGUUGAUUUGCAAUUUUUAAAAAUAUUGCUCAGCCCUACUUACCUAAAUUUUAAUUUUCUAAAAAAGAAUUAUUCGAUUUUUUUGGUAUUUACACGUGUAUUAUGUAGGUAGUGCAAAAACUUCAACAAAAUUGGUCUAAAUUUGUAUCAAAGAAAUUUAGGCAUUUUUGGUACUCACUACAUAAUACAUUUGUUCUGAGUGGUUGUUUGAUCCUUAUCUAAAUUACGAAAAAAAUAAAAAGAAUAAAUUGAAAUAAUAAAUAAGUUUCCUAAAAUUAACUAAAUUCCUUCUUUUCACCUUUGUAAAAGGUCAAACGUGGAAUGAAAUAUUAUUCAUUAUGAUCCAAAGAAAGAAGUAAAGGUGUCUAGUGAUAUCUUAUAACAUAGAUCACCAUUGAUAGCAAUUGUUUAUAAGAAGAGUCCAACAUCAUUCUUUCCAAAGAAAAUUCUCAUCCUAUGUUGAAAAUAGAUUAUCGUUCUAGAUAUGAAAAAUGAUCUGUCAACAAAGGUAAUCCAUAUUCUAUAUGAAAUUUUAUUUUGUCUUUUACCAGAUGGGUUAAAAGAUUUUUUUUUCUUCAAUAAAUACACAAGCAACCAUUAGAAUUCACAUCAUUUUACCAAGUUGAUUAAAUCUACACUUCAAUCCUUCUAAAUUUUCAUGGGAUGGAAAUUAAACGAGGGGCGGAGGCGAGGGAAUCAUCCCAUCUUGGUCAAAUUCCAAAUAUACCAAACCUAAAAAUGACCAAACUUCAACUUCAUUUGGGAAAAAAGGGGGAAAACAUAUUAUUUCCAAAUAUAGAGAAAACAAAAAUGGCUGAUGAUACUAGAAAUCAUUGAUUAUAGUGUAAAUUUGAUUGGUUGGAGCAUUAAGCAGAUGUGAAACUUGUCUCAACAGUCCGAACACUACUUGGUCAAAUUCCAAAUUUCCAAUCAACAUCAAAGUCCCAUUCUUUCCAAGAAACUAAUGAGAUUCUCCACUUACUAGACAAAAAGAAGGGUAGGAAGGAAAUGCAUGUAAAUGUAACUCAAAAUAGUUAAAAGUGUUAGGAUCCAGUAGAGAUUAUACAGACGAAAUAUUUUAGAGAAAGAAGGAUACUGAGUAUAUCUUCAUUCGACAUUUGAAAAUCCGGCACCACCUUCCGCUCGAGUCCUGUCCAUGGGCACAAGCUUAGUCAUUUAGGGGACUGAUAGGGUACAAAAGAAAGAUGAGAACAAAGAUAAUAAAGAGCAAGAAAGUCAAAGUGAGCUAGCUCGAUGGUAAGUGAAGUGUGCUAGCUCGAUAGUAAUUGAAAUAUACUCAUUUCUCUUUAGGUUAGAGGUUCGAAUUUUCACAACCCCAUAUUUUAUACUAAUGAGCAUACGGAACUUUCAUCGACUUUUUGAAAAAGAUAAACACCGGAACAAGCAAUGGAUAAGAAACUGUUAAUAGCUCAAUCAAGGGGCAUCCUCAAAUAAGUUGAGUAGACGGAUGUGAUCAAAACACAAGGACAAUAAUUUGAAAGAAAAUAAUUAUAAACAAAAAAGAUGGAUAAGGAGAAUGUAUAGCUAUAACGUAUGCAGUGUCUUCUACCGUGGAGAUUGAACUGAGUGAAAGACACUUCAGAUUAAUGCCUUCUUGGAGCCAAAGAACAAGUAAAAUAUUAUCAAUACCAUCCAUCAAUGGAAAUAGCACUUACUUGUGGUCAGAAGGAUUUGGUGUGAUUUCGUAGACAAUUGUUGCAACAACAUCUCUCUUUAGCUGUUGAUUAAAAUGAAGAUAUUUAGUUAUUUAAAUCAACAAAAUCAUCAACUGAUUCUUGCCCACAACUUUACCUGCGUGGCUUCACCUUUCAACCCAAUGUAGUGUAUCUGAGUCGUGUCACCACCAUAAUUAUCAGGAAAAUGCAAAGUGAUGUUUCCCACACCUUGAAAUUUGGAAUAUCUGAUUAUGUAUAUAAAUUAGCUGUCAAAAAAUAGUUGUAAUCUAACAUUGAAAGAAUUCACAGGCUCGAUAAUUAUAAGGGGAAAGAAAAUGCUCAAUUUUUUUGCUAUCAAUUCAAACAUUUUCAGAUGAUCUGAAAGAUAUGUUCCUCUAUAAAACAUCCUUACCUUGUUUGGUACUCUAAUACUCCUUGCAAAUUCUCAGCCAAAUCCCACUCCUAGAAUAAUAAAAAAUGCGUUACAGUUACAACAUAUGGUUAGGCGUCAAAAUUUCUCCAUGAAUCUCCGCCAGACAUGCUAACAGGUAGUACCUGAACAGCUUGCAUACUUUGAGCAUCUGAGAAGUCAAUACCUUCUCGAUUGAUAAACCUGAUUAUGAAGGAUAACUUGCGUAUAAGAACUAACGCAGGGAGAGAACUAGAAGGGAUAAAACUUAAUAUUCACAUAGAAAACCAAGUGUGUGAAAGUUCCAGAACAUCGAACUUACACCCUCAUCUUUGAAGGACUAGUACCAUCUGGACCACCAAUGAUAGAUAUGCUUUUGAUCUUAACAUCUGAUGUAAAUCUAAUCAUAAAAAAAGUGGUAAUGAAUUUUUAAGAAACAGGGAGAGUGCCAGAACACAAAAAGCGCACACCACAUAUAAGCAAUGUAGCCAUCGCUGCAAAACAAAGAUACAGGCACAGAAAUCUUCAUGACAUAAUAUAAAUUUUAUUAUCAGAUAACUAAAAUUGUUCUUGUGAUAUCUGCUUUCGAAGUUUCAGACCAGCCGACAAACACAUAGAUUCUUAGACAAACAGUUUUCUCUUGGUAGGAACACGAAAUUGCGUUUAGGAAGGGUAUGAAUUUACUAGGUGAAAUGGCUGAGCACCUAUGGGAAUUAUUUAGGAAGGCUAGAAGAAUAAAAAAAAAGGGGGGAAGUCGUGAUAAUUUAUGUCUUCACAAAAUUAUUUAUUUCCAUAUUCGCCCUGAGAUAUAUAAAAGGGAUGGUUGAGAAACUAUAAAUUUUAUUACAUUAAAAUGUAAAUUACGAAUAACCAUUACAAUAACUGUACUUAUUAACGAGUACAUAUCAAUGUUAUUAAGGUAUCAGGUAUAGUUAGAAUCCAAAAGUACAGGAACACCUACGGGAUGAAAACUAGCAGUUCAGGAUCACCCUCGUUGCUUUCCAAGUGAUCCUGUUGUAUAAAAACGAAAUAUAUGAGGCUACUUUAUCCUAGCAAUCGGGUACAUGGCACUGAUACACGCAGAUAUAAAGGUAAGGUACCCCAGAUGAGUUUAACCGAUGCUCCCAAGCUUUAAAUACUGACUUCACACUUCCUGGAGUUGCCUCAUUCAAAGCUGAAACCUAAAAAAAUAGCAGAACCUGUGAUCAUAAAUAAAAUUUCCACCAGUUCCUUUGAGGGAAAAAAAAUUAUAAUACGUGUGGGUUCGACAUGCAAUCUACAAUAAGAGUUCAAGGCUCUUCCAUAAAAGUUACUCAUAAGAUUCAAUUGAUUCCGUCCACAAUUAUCAACUUGCAUGAAACAUGCUAUUGACGGAAGGGGCAAUUGUCAUCCUUGUGUGAUUUUAAGAGUAAUGCAUUCAAAGAAUUUCUCCAAUCUUAAAGAUGAAAAAACUCAACAUCAUUAAUACUUCCACAUAUUCACUCAUAAUCUAACCUCUCCGAUUUCUUCUAGCCUUAAAAUAAACAGGAAGAUUUAUCAGUUUCAUCAAUACUUCGCCCACAGUAUUCAUUCCAACGUCAGCAGACAAUUACUUGUGCCUUAAAAGUUAUGGGGAAAAAUCCGUCAGCAUUGCUAACAUCUACUCAUAAUUGUUCCAGUUAUUGAACAACUCCAAUAAGCUUGCAAGACAAGAUGGCAAUGGAAAAUAAUAUAUUUCUAACAAAGUUAUCAAAUCCCCUUAAUAGUAACCAUUGAUGUUCUUGCUAUGCGUGCUAUGUUUAUCUCUCGUAUAACUCAAAUAUGAAUAAAAUAGUGGAAAUAUUAGCACAAUCCUCUUCCAAUUUCUUCCCAAAUGGCUAGGCUGUAAACCCAACUUGGAAAAAGGUAAUGUAAUUAAGAUGUAACAAAAAACAACAAAAGAAGAGAACCAGAGAUGGAAACAAGAGAACAAUAUUGCACGGACGAUCAGCUACAGUUGAGUUUUGUGUUCAUUUGAAGUGAAAACUAAAAAAAUUAACCACUAAUGCACUAGCUUCUAUCACUAACCAUGAAAUUCUCCAACAUCAUUCCCACUAAGCCAUUAGGCCAGUUCCCUCCAAUUUAGGAGGCACUACCUAAAUUAAACCCAUCAACAUAAAUUAAAACUAAUUACAAAUUAAGUUGCACUAAUUCUUAACCUAAGAAAAACCCAAUUUGCAUGUGAGGAACCAUAACCAACGGCAGGAACAAAGAUUCAGCUCAUUCAUGAGAUCAUGGGCAAUUGCAAUUCACAUAAUAUUUUCCAAGCAGUGUAAUUGGGAAGGAAACUAAAAAAUUAUCAUUCAGCUAAUGGGUAUGGAGAUAAUUAAAAUCCAAAGCCUGGACAAUCAAAUUUCAUAUUGAACGAUGGAAAAUGAUUAUACGAAUAUGUUUGAAGUGAUACGAAGUCGUAAAACGGAUUGUCAAAGAAGAAAAUUCGUGUGCUAGAGGUAGAUACAGAUAUGCACUAACUCUGGGGAGGUCUAUGUGCUUGUAAAGAGACCAAUCAGAAGAACAAUCGUGAUCUUCGCAGCUGUGAUCGUGUAAGCAAGCCAUCUUUGAGGUUCCAGAACAAUAGGCAGAACGAAGAGAGAUUUCAGAGGUAAAAGAGAAAGUGCGAGAUGCUCAAAACGGCGCCGCUUCUGUACGUGAAGGAUUGUUUUCGCUUUGAUAUAAAGCCAUUACAAGAAAACAUCAAUUACAUUUUGUUUGUUUUUUAAUAGCCGUGACUAAAAUAAAUCAAGAGAUUAUAAUAAAUGAAAUUAUCAAGAUCAAGAUGAUAUUUUCUAAUGGAACAAAAAAAGAAAGAAAAAACGAAAAGUUGUAUCCUUAAUUAUACUAAAAAGGAAUAAUAAUAAUCCAUCAACACGUUAUUUGGUAGCCUUCAACAUAAUUAGUGUUUGCAUUCAAAAUGUGGAAUAGAAAUAGGAUCAUGAAACGUCGAAACAAUGAAAAAUUAGAGUUGAGGAUCAUGAAACGUCGAAACGAUGAAAAAUUAGAGUUGAGUUGAGAACCGUGGAAAUGAAAUCAGUUUUAGUAUUACAAAUUCAAUCCAAAACCAAAACAUCCAAUCCAAACUCAUUCCACGACGAGUCUCCAAACCACUGUAAUCGUAUAGGAUGUGUGUUAAAGGAACAAAUUUAGGGUUACUUUGUUUAUAUAUUUUUUUGAAAAAAAAUACUAUUUACAAAUAGAUUAUUACAAAGAUCAACUUGGAUGAGCACCUUCAAUGAACAACUUUGAGAAUUAUUUUAGUAACCAACUUCAAAAAACGACAUACGAUGCCGAAUUUUGACAAUGACCUUUUAUGAUAAUCAAUUUUGAUGGUUACUUCAUGCCACUAACCCUAGUGAAAAGUAUUUUUAUACUCUCCAAUACAAACAAUUACAAUUCAUACUAUUUUAAUUAAUCUACACUCUAAAUAUACAUUUCAUAACAUAGAUUCUAUUUCACAUAUUACAAUAACCAACUCGAAGUCACAAAGAAUCUCGUCUACAAAUCAAUCUCGAGUAGAUAUGAUUUUCCUUUUCUUCUCCGUCGUGUGAACACUAUGUGCCCCAAACAACCCUACUAUGUUGGAUUUCUUAAUUAACAAGGGAACUCAUUUUUGUCCCAUGUGUUCAAUGACGGACGUUAAAUGUACUUUUCAUUUAAACUAAGCAAAGGGAGAGAGAGGAAAAAAAGUUAAGGCUUCACCAAAAAAAUUUAAUUAUUGUUUAGAUGAUUUGAUCAUCAACUUAAUUGACUAAUAAUUUGUAACAAAUAUAUUGCUUAUUUAAAGCUUGAUUUCAAAAUUACUCAAUAAACAAACAGUACAAUCAAUCACAAAAAUUCAACCCUAAAAUGCAUCAAUCGUACAAAGUUUAGUAAUAAACAUUAAUUGAUAGAAAGUAUUCUAUUAUGAUAGUUUUGAGGCACAUAUUUUAGGUUGGAAGAAGCACAAUUCAUAGAUAUAUAAUAACUUUAAAUUGGUCCAUACAAUAUUUUAAUUAAGUGAUAUUGUUUUAGUUAAAUUAAAUUUCAAUCCGUGUAUGAAUUUACUUGAUCUCGAACUUAAAAAAUCUUUUUUGAAAUGUUUACUUGACAUUUCAAUUUGUAUUCAACAAUCUUUAGUUAAUUUAAUUGAUGUUUUUAAACGUUAGAGACUUAUAAUACACAAUAUUAAAAAUUUAUUAGACACAAGUUUUAAUUUUAUAUCUUAAUUGUUCAAUUAACGGUUAAAAGUUACUAUAUGUUAUAAAUUAAUGAACCUAUUAAACACAAAUUUUAAAAUCUUUAUAAAACGGAAUCUCUAUUUCUAAUACAAAAAUAGUUAUGGAUCAUGACAAUAUGUUUGCUACUAAGUAUGCUUAAAAAAUAAUAAGAACAUAUUAACUAACUAGUUAAAAACCAACACUAUUUUUAUAAGUUGUAGGUUGAAAAUUUAAUUCCUACCUUUACUAAAAAAAAUUAGAGUAUUGUUGAGAUGAAAAAAAAAAAAAAAAACCAUAUGCAUAUGGUAAAUUAAAAAGAUAUUUAUUGAUUGAAUUAUGGUAUAUAUCUGAUCUUAUAAGUAAAGUAUAUGAGAAUGGACAUAUUAUAUCAUAAUUUAUCCGUUCUAACUAGAAGACAAUUCAAGUACUUUGGUCAAAGACUCAAAGGUUAAUUAUGAAUGGAUUAUUUAUUAUAUAACUUAUCAUCCACAAAUUAUUUCACUUUUAAUGCAAUAUCCCUUUCUAUGAUAUUUUCUAAAGAAAAAAAGCAAUCACAUUCUCUGCCCUCUUUUAUCUUCUCUUUCUUUCUAAUAAUUAUCUGAUUCGUAUAACUAAAAGUUUAUUUUUCAUUCUAUUUAUAAGUUUUGCGAGUGCACGUUUGAGUUAAUAAAUUAAUCUUGAAAAGCAAUUGACAUGUACGAUUUAGUAUCGACGUCGAACUAAAUUUUACUUUCAAAACAGUGGUUCGAAACGAUACAACAUGAUCAACAAUUAUUUUGUCUACUACUACUAUAUUGUUUCAUUUUACUAGAAUUAUAAAAUAUAGCUAAAGUUAACAUUUAUUAAUUAGUUCUUAAUUUAAAUUUAUUUAUACUUUAUUAUUUAAAUAUACUUGCGUAAGAUUAUAUACCGUCACUGUAGGCAACGUAAUGAAAAACAUUUUGGUUAAUAUUUGAAUAUAGAUCUAUUCAAGAGCUUUCUCUUAAUGUAAGUGAUGAAUUUCUCUUGUUUAACCACGAACAUGAUUUUAACUAUUUUUUUUAAAAGGUCGGUCUUCCGUCUUUAAAUAAAACCAAUUUAAAAAUCACCUCCAUUCUUUAUUUGGAGAGUUUAUGAUUGAUCUCUUCCCAAACCACUGAUUAGGGUAAAUUUUAGAAAUAUAUUUUAAUAUCAUAACAAAUAUUAAUUAAGCCAAUAAUAAAGAUUUGAUUGAUAACAGUUUUACUAAAGUUGAAGAAACUAAAAAAGAAUGAAAAUGAUAUUUUAGUAUUAAAAAGGAUUGAAGAAAAAAGAUGAGAAAUGGACGGAUAAUAAGAUUCCACACCCAACCGCGAAGGAAUCUCGCCUAAUAUUGAUAUUUGCUAUUUAGUGGGUCAUAGCUUUCCCUAUCAACUUCAACUUGCAAUGUAUUAAAGUUGAAAAAAUGACCGCAACUAUUAUCAUUACACGUGUAAGGUCAGGAUUCAUCACCAGGGGCAACUAAGUCUUUUACAAAAACCCGCAAGAAAAUUUCCAAUUUUCUUUUUUAUAUAUAUUAAGUGAAUUUGUAAUCAUCGUUCUAUACCCACCGUGUAGCCCAAGUUUCCCGGCAACUUCAUGGCUCGAAUCCCCACCGGAGUUUUACUCUCUCUUCUAUUCCUUGCCGUAAUCGGUCUACCUGCCGGAGCCCGGGACCUUCCCGGUGAUUUUCUCCGGUUGCCGUCCGAGGCACUGAAAUUUUUUCGCGGAGGAGCUUCCGACGCUAGCGACGAAGACUCCGUGGGGACGAGAUGGGCUGUUUUGAUCGCUGGUUCUAAUGGAUACUGGAAUUACAGGCAUCAGGUUUUUUUUUCUACGAUUGAUAAGUUGCACUGACUUUAAUUCAUUUGAUAAGUUUGUGUUGUGUUAUGAUGUUGACCUUUGUGAUUGAUUGGCGUUUUCGUGUUCGUAUUUCAUACUUUUUACCCAAAAUGUCUGUUGUGCAUUAUAUCUGUUGCUGAUACUUGUCUGAUCCAUUUUCUCACUGCUUUUUAUUUUUAACCUAAACUUUAUCAUCGGUGAUUCUUCUUGGCGUGAGAUCGAUUUUUUUUUUUUUUUCCAGUUAAACUAAGUCUGCAUUCUUUUGAUCUUUACUCUUCGUCGUCUGCUUUUUUGAUCGAUUGACUUUUUUCUGUUUUUCGAUUAAGAAAUUGUAGUAGUUCUGUUCUUAUCCGUUUCAUUUUUUUCAAUACAUAUGUUCUUAGUUUAUUUUAAAAGAAAAAAAAUAAUUAAGCCUUCAAAUUAAUUAAAUAUUUGUUGCUGUUAAUAAUUCUUAAAAAUUGAGCUGAAAUUCUCGAAGAACAUGGUUUUUUCAACGCCCUUCCAUUUGUCGUUGCUACCAUGUGAUCGAUAUAACUUUUCGAUUUUGCUCCAAAAUAACCACGUUACCUGUAGCUACUCUCAAACAAAGUUUCCUUGUUUAUAAUUGUCAUGUUGAACGAGUAACUGAGCGUUUAAGGCCUAACUGCAAAAGUUUAUUUGAAGGCACUUUUGAAAAGUUUUAUUUCUUGUGUUUGUAGUGACUUUUUUUUUAUUUUAACAAGUAACAGUUAUUUUCAGUGCUCUAUUUGGGUUGCAAAAUCUCAACUCCAUACUAGCCAUAGUUUAAAUUUCUUGGUACUAAACUGGAGUAAUCUUUUAUACUUCCUAUGUAUAAUAUAUAUGUAUAUAUAUAUUCAUGAAUAUCUGGGCUAGCUGAGGCACACAUGAGCAUUUGGGUGUCAAGGAAACAGGCAGGAUAUUAAAUUCUACGUAGGUGGUCACCAUGAAUUGAAUCCAUAACCUCUCAACCAUUUUUCAAGGUCAAUAUAACCAUUUAUUAUCUUAAUAAAAAAGAGUUUGUGACUCCUCUAUGGAAAGUAAAAAAGAGCUAUAAACACAACCAGUAAUUAAAGUUACAAAUCAAAGGAGAGAAUGGAGAUAUAAUUAAGAAUUAAUAUAAAUUUGUUGAACAAGCGUAAGUCAACAGAGUCUAGGUGCUACUAUUCUGCUCUCAACCUUGUUUUAUUAUGUGAGUGUCGUAGAUGGUUUAAUUGAUUAAAAAGGCUUAGAGAAUGCUGAACUCAUUUUCCACCAGGCUGAUAUCUGCCAUGCUUAUCAAUUGUUGCGGAAAAAUGGGCUAAAAGAUGAGAACAUCAUAGUCUUCAUGUACGAUGACAUUGCCUUCAAUCCAGAGAACCCAAGACCUGGUGUCAUCAUCAACCAUCCAAAGGGUUCUGAUGUUUAUCAUGGAGUCCCGAAGGUUUUCUUUUUCUCGUUGCCCUAUCGAUUCUAAUUUUACGCCUGAUUCAUCUGAUGGUAGCUACUUAUGCACUCUACGUUUUGGCCAUGGCAGGAUUACACUGGUGAAGAUGUUACCGUGAACAACUUUUUUGCUGCCAUUCUUGGAAACAAAACUGCUCUUACAGGGGGUAGUGGGAAGGUUGUUGACAGUGGCCCUAAUGAUCAUAUUUUCAUAUACUACAGUGAUCAUGGUGGUCCUGGUGUGCUUGGUGAGUGGCUUGUUCUGUGUAGUUCGCAUACUAUUUGAGGUGACCUAUCAUGCUUAUCUGGCACCAUCUCUUUGGAUAUGUUUGUUGCUCGAUGUGCUUGAUUUAUAUCUGUAAACAAUAGCACGAUUAGUUUACAUUUCCAUAUUAUCUUUUAAAGGCAGCCAACCAACCAAAAUUCAAUCUUAAAAAGCGUGCUUUGAUUUGAAACUGAUAGUACAGCCUCAUUUACCUAGGAAACACUUAUUGGUAUCAUUAUUGUAAAAACAUUAAUCGAAGAUAAACUUGUGUUAGAUUUCUCUAACUAGUUUGUUACUUGAUGGAUAAGAAAUUUCUCAUCUCUGAUAUAUCUUGUUCAGGGAUGCCUACCUAUCCUUAUAUGUAUGCUGACGAUCUUAACAAAGUUCUAAAGAAGAAGCAUGCUGCUGGAUCCUACAAAAGUUUGGUAUAUUAUUGUACUGUUCAUUGCUUGAGACUGCAUCUGUCCUUAUAAUGUAACCAUAUAUAAUGAGAGUGGAACUGUUUGUAAUAUUUUAGGUAUUCUAUCUCGAAGCUUGUGAAUCAGGAAGUAUCUUUGAAGGUCUUCUUCCUGAAGGUUUGAACAUUUAUACAACGACUGCAUCAAAUGCUUAUGAAAGCAGUUGGGGUACUUAUUGUCCAGGGGAUUAUCCUAGUCCUCCACCAGAGUAUGAUACUUGCUUGGGUGACUUGUACAGUGUUGCUUGGUUGGAAGACAGGUAAAAAGAUAAUAGUAGGCUUGUUCUAUUGUUUUUAUACUUUGUUAUUUUGUUAUUUUGUUGUUUUUGUUUUUGUUUUUUGCUUGGUGUUUUAAUUUAUCAGUAAAAGAAAAUGAUAUCAAUGCCGAAAUCCAAAAGGUAAUGUUUUUUGAUGUUGUGCAACUUUGAUUUUGGGCAUUUGUUCUGAUUUCCAUGUUCUCAUCGUUAUAUGUACUGCCGCACCAUACUUCUGGUGUCUAGUGUUCUGUCAAGCCGAAGAAUGAGUCUCACAAAAUUAUUAGAUCCAAAAGCAGAUUAUUACCUUUUAAAUAAGGGAUCCAAACGCAAAUGACGUGAGUUAAAAUAAUGAGGAAGUGGUUUAUUUUAUUCAGAACCUCAAGAUUUUUACUUUCGUGCUGUAACAGUGAUAAUCACAAUUUGAAGACAGAAAGUUUACGCCAGCAAUACGAACUGGUAAGAAUACGUGGACCUCCGUUUUAGGAGAAAUCAACUUCCCAAGUUUAAAUUUGGUUCUUAAAAAUGAAAAAUUUUCUACCAGAUUUUUUCAUCCUUUUGUAAUUGUACUAAAUGUACCAAGUCUAAAGGACAUUUUAGUGUGUUUAUCAAAAUGAAAAAAAAUCCCAUUAUGCUCGUUUGAUCUGAUUUGAACUGUUGGUUUCUUCAGGUGAAAAAAAGGACGCUAAGUGGCCAAUAUGCCUAUGGUUCCCAUGUCAUGCAAUACGGUGAUCUAAUGCUCAACAAGAACGCUUUGUUCUCAUAUCUGGGUACUGAUCCUGCUAAUGAGAACAACACUUUUGUCGAGGAAAACUCCUUGAGGCCAGCUACAAAGUUCACCAAUCAGCGUGACGCUGAUCUGGUCCACUUUUGGGAGAAGGUUAGUUUCUUCUUUUUCUAUUUUCAAAUGGAUAAUAUAUGAACCCUGCUUGGUAUACUAGUAUAUAGUAAAUAAGUGAUAUUUUGAGGUUCGCCAAAUUGAUAAUAUUUCCUGUUUUAGAUAGUGAGAACAAAGCAUUCUUGUGCGUUAGAUCCAAUUUUUGAGACUUUUGUGGCAAUUUUUUAAAUACUACACUUGUCACCUCUCUAAUGUAGGGAUUGUAGUAUUUACUUGUUAAUCUUGGGUUUUUUCUUGCUUAAAAUUAAUUUUGGUUUCGACAUCAUUCAAGACCCUCUCACCCCAUCCGUGCUUGUUGAUCUUAGUUUCGCAAAGCUCCAGAAGGCUCCCUGACGAAAGUCGAAGCUCAGAAGAAGUUCGUGGAAGCAAUGUCCCAUAGAGCUCAUAUCGAUAACAGUGUGAAGCUAGUUGGAAAGCUGUUGUUUGGAAUUAAAGAAGGUCCUGAGGUGCUUGAAGCCAUCCGUCCCGCAGGAAGACCCCUUGUUGAUGACUGGAACUGUCUUAGGAAUAUGGUAUAAUUUCAAUAUAAUUGGAUACUGCACAGCCCAUUUCAGUCAACCAGUCAAAUGAUGUUUAGUUAUAUUUUUACUCAGUAUAAAAGUUAGUUAAUUCUGAAAUGAUUCAAUACAAACAGGUUAGGAGCUUUGAGGCACGUUGUGGAUCUCUGUCUCAGUACGGAAUGAAACACAUGAGAUCCUUUGCAAACCUAUGCAAUGCUGGAAUCAGCAAGGAGCAGAUGGCGGAGGCAUCGGCGCAAGCUUGCAUGAGUGUCCCUCCGGGCCCUUGGAGCUCUCUACUCAAGGGCUUCACUGCAUGAUGACGAAACCCAAGUCAGUCAUCGGAUUUGGAAGUACGUUUCUCCCACCAUUGUUUAUAUCACAUCUAUGUUCAAAUGGGUCUGUCGACGACAAGUCAUUUGUAAAUAGAACCACAGGCCAUUGUGUUAGGUGAGAAAAAAGGGGCAUAUAAUUGAAAUGUUGAACUGAAGAAAUACGCAUCUGUUUAUAAGAAGAAGGCUCUGGUUGUGUUGGCAAGAACGAUCAAAAUUCCAAAUGUAUUGAUUGUAUGUAGUAGAAUUAUGGUGUGCUUUUUACAUUGAAUGACAAUAUAUUUUCACAUGAAUACAAAAUUCCAACCUCCAAAAGAAGAAAAGUGAGAAAACAAAAAUGCAUGAUUGAAAUAUUGGUGAGAAAAGGCAUAAGAGGUGGGCUAUACUUAUAGAUGGGAUAUGGGUGAGAAGGGUAGGCUCCACUCCUUUCCUCCUUCACUUGUUUAAACUUUCGUCAAUUUUAAAAGUAGAAUGGGGAGUUUGUGGGUUGUGGUAGUUGAAAAUGGUUAGAUGUUUUGGUAUAGAAUUUAGUGGGGGAAGAGAUAAAUCCACAUAUUGGGAUUAUUGGGAUACUGUUUGUGUGUGUGUGUGUGUGUGUGUGCCCCCAUUCUCCACCUCCCUGGAUCCACAUUCUUCUAUUAUUCCCACUUUUGCACGCUUUGUUUCUUUCCUUUUAUUAUUUUAAUACCAUCUAAUUUCAUGUUCUUUAACUUUAUUGUUUUAAUACCAUCAAUUUAUAUUGUAAAAAAAAAAAAAAAAAGAGUUCCUUUUGCAUCUUAUCUGAAUGUGAAUGUUGGUUUCUAUACUAUAUUUGUAAUUUUUUUAAGAUAUAAUGAAAAUAUGAUUCACUCUUUCAUCAUCUUAAUAUUGAGUUUAGUUAGAUAGAAUAUGUAACAUUUGUCAUCUUAGUAAUUCUUUUAAUCGUGGCUUUAAAUUUACUUUAUUAUUUUCUCGUUGUUUAGUAAAGGGAUGGAAUAUCAAUUAUUGAAACUCGAUUUGGUUGUUUUGUUUAAACCCCAAAUUAUGAAUCAGAAUUGGUUCCAUACAUAAUUCUCAAAAUCUCAUAAUUCUCCAAGAAAAUAAAGAUUUCAAAUGUAGUUUCUGGUCUAUAGAACUUUAAGUUUUUUUACUUUUAGGCUUCAAUAAUUUUUUUGUUUGUUAAAAUAGUAUUCUUUCAAUUUUUUAUUAUAUAUAUAUAUAGUUCCUAGUUGAAAGGAAAAGUUGAUUAAGAGGUAUAUGUGAUGAUUUAAUAAUUUAUUCGAAUGAUUGUGUUUGAAGAAAUUAAACUAGUUGCCAACUAUAUGAAUCAAAUGAUUUUGAAUUCAAAGGUAAUAGUUAGGGAAUUGGAUAUUUUUUUUUUUCUAGUGGAGCAUCUAAUGAUACCUUUUUCAAUAUCAUUAUUACGGAGAUGAAAAUAAAAAAUUGACUCUUGAAUUAGAAUUAUGUCAAUUACUAACAAGCUAAAUUCACCUUUUCAUUAAGAGUCAACGAGACGAAAACUAAUAUGGAUACAUACUUUUGUUUAAAUUCAACGAGUAUGAUUUGAUUAUUUUGUUUCUUUUAAAAUGAGUAUGAUCUUAAUAUUACAAAAUACAAAUGGAUGGACAAAAGUUUCUUAUUAAAAAAUCAACCCCACUACUGAACAAAGGCACCAAAAGAAAAAGAAAAAAAAAAGAAGAAAAUCUUCUUCAUAUGCUCUCUCAUUUGGAAAAACGAAAAGGAACAAAAGUCUUUUUAUCUUUUUCUUUUUUUCCUUCUUAAAAAGUAGAUAAAACUUCAAAUAUGGAAAAGGUAAAUUCACAUAAUGACUAAAAGCAUUUUUAUUUCAUAACCUUUAUUUAUACAUAAAUACGCAUGUGCCUUUAUUGGUAAUCUUUCUUUGUUUUUGUUUUUUAAUUGGUUUUUAAAAACUAAAGUGUAUUUGGUAACUAAUUCACUUUUUAUUUUUAUUUUUUAAAAAAAAACUUUUUUUAAAAUUAUAAAGAAAAAUUGAAAAUGAAAGGACAUCUUUAAAAUAACAACAUUAUCAAAUAUAUAUGGUUUUUAUCUUUAUAAAAAAUUAGAAAAUAGAAAAAUGAAAACAAAAAUAAAAAUUGAAAUGGUUAACUAAACCUGUUCUAGAAGUUUAAAAAUAUAAUGAUAAUUAUAAAUAUGUUUGGAGAUUUUUAAAAGAAGAAGAAGAAAAUUGACGAAUUAUUUACGUAAUCCACUAAAAGUCAAAAUUUAUACACUUAUUUCUCUACUAAUGAUAAAUAUUCUAUUUGUAUGGUUUUUCCCUUUUUUCUUUUUUUGGUAGAGUGGGGGCUCGAAAAUGAAGUUUAAAUAAAGUUAUGUGAUGAACUAACAAUAGGCUAAAAAGAUAAAAUCUUAUUAAAUUUACAUAAUGUUUUUUAAAAAAACGAACUCAUUUAUUAAAUUUGAGGGUACAAUGGUGAGUUUGAUGUGAUUUUUUAGAAGUUAGGGAAGGAGUGGAAAGUGAAAAUAAAUAUAAGCUUAUAAUUAUUAAUAAACAUGAGAAAAGUGCUUUGCAUUAUUAGGAAGUUUACAACAAACUCUAAUUUUUAAUUUAACUUGUUUGUUUCUAAUUAAUAUAAUAUCAACUUGUCAAUAUUUGAACUUUUAUAUAACAUUUCAGUCCUUACAUAUUCUUUUAUAACUUUUAUAUUCUCCAUUUAAAUCCUUUGACUAAUUAAAACUUUUAUUAUGUAUAAGGAAAAUUUUAAAAAAUAAAAUUUAUAAUUAUUAAGUAAGCAAGUGAAUGGUACGAAACAUGUAAGCCUCAAAGUUAUUAUUUCAAUUUUAUUUUAUCAUCUUUUAAAACACGUUCGAUGUUGAUGAUCUAAGCUUUUUACAGUUCUUGGUAUAUGAUUGCAUGUGUAAAGAGUUUAAACCUCGAGUAGGGAAGUAGUUAUACUUUCCUUGAGGUCUUCAAUCAUGACAAGAUUUUUAAUUUUUAAAUUUUUAGAAUUAAAGUUUUCAUAUAUAUAAAAUAAAUUUAUUAAGUAAUUUUGUAUGAUUGACUCAAACGAAUGGUGUCUCGUUUAUAUAAUAUUAGGAUUUGUGGUAAAUAAUUUAUGGGAUGGUUUUGGAGAUGAAAAAAAAGUAAAAGAAUAUGAAGAAAUAUAGAGUUGCAUUUAAUGAUUGUAUUGUGGUGUUUUGAAACAUCACGACUCUCUUCCACAAAACGUUUUCUAAAAUCACAAUGGAUAAAGUCAAAUUGUUGGUGAAGAAUCCUUUGUUUUUUCCAUUAAUAAUUGUAUCUAUCAAAUUUAAACUUUAUCCAUUUUUAUAUUUUACAAAAAUCUACCUACCAAUCAUAAAUAAAAUUAAUUUACAUAUUAAUCAUAAUUAACUAAAAAAUGCAAUAAUACAUUAGAACACUACCACUACAGGUUUUAACUAUGCCAAAUUAGUUUUAAAACUUUGAAAUAUAUGUAUAUACAUUAUAUGGUAAAGUAUUGAGGUAGAUUUGUUAGAAUAUUAAUAAAAUAAAGUAUCUAAGUUGAAAAGAAGGUGAAGGGGAGGAAGACAUGCAAGGUGAUUGGAUUACAAACUAAUUACAAACUAGAUUUGAGAAGAAUAGUUUGAAUUUUGGGUAGUAGAAAAGGGAGAAGGUAAGAAUGAAUGGUAGAAAUAAAUAUUUGGUUAAAGGAAACCCUAAUAUAAAUGUUUAUAAAAGAAUGAAUUGAAGGGGUCAUUGAUUGCAGUGAAAUGAAAGUAUUGAAAGUUCAAUAAUUUGGAGAGCCCCAUGGGACGUAUAAUCGGUUUGGGUAUUGACCGGAUACGACAUUACGAAAGCACUUUUAUUCAAAUGCUUUAACCAUGGUUAAUACUCCAAACUAACCAUAGUUAAGUACCCUUCCCGGUUCUAUCUAACCUCUAACCUCUAACCUCUAACCUCUAAGCUCCAAAGCUCUAAAGCUCCAUCACAUCGGCGGUUCCACACGAAAACAAAACUUAAAUAAUAAUAUAAAAGAAUAUUUUAUUUUAUUUUUGUUAGGAGAAUGAACGGACGUUAAAGAUUCCGUCAAAUUGGUUAACGCGGGGGGAUAAACGUAACGGUCGAUUGGAGAAGAGAGGAAGGAGCGGGACUCUCAGUGGACGGAAAAGCAGAUGAUGAAGCAGAGCCGGACGAUGGUUUGAUGGACGGUCAUAGAUGGAUAUUGCUGAACGGUUUAAGCGAUGUGGGACUUGGAAGAGCGUAUAAAAAUAGAGAGUUGAAAGGGUGAGAGGCCAUUUCGUUGUAUCAUUGAGGAAGGACCUCUCUGUACUACUUCUCUUUAAACUUCCCUUCUAACUCUUUCUCUCUCUCUCUCUUUCUCUUUCUCUUUCUCUUCUACAUAUUUAUAUUUCUUUCUCUUGAUGUCUCUGUAAUUAUUUCCUUCAUUUGAAGCUUUCAAAACCACCCAACAGCUUAAAAUUUUGAUAGUAUUACUGGGUUAAUCGAUCUAAGAUGGCUCGGGUCAUUGACGACUUUUAAGGCAUUGAAAUUGUUGUAAGAGAUGAGAUAAUCGACGGGGGGGAAUUUGAAUCUGGGGUCUGUUUUCUUGGCUGAUUCUGUAAUUGAUUUUUUUUUUUUUAAUAAAUUCGGAGUUGAAUUUUUGGAGAAGAGACUUUGAGUUUUGAAGGUUUGAUAAUUGAAAUCAAUUCACUGUUUAAGGUCUUUGUUGUUCUGGGUUUAGAUCUUAUCUUCUGAAAUUAGUUUCUAACUCUUGAAAUUUUCGUUGUGCAGAUAAAUACAGAGCGAUUUUAGUUGUUCGUUUGAGGGGUUUCUAAGAGAUUUGUUACCUUUUUUGAAAGUGGAAGAAGAAUUGGACUGAGAAAAAUGCAAGCGAUUAUCGGACUCUGGGAUUCGGAUUUACAUUUCGCUUGUUUUCUGCGGUGAAAUAAGCAGAUUUCUGUUCUUUGGAAGAGCUGAUUCUUGGGGGGGAGGGGGGCAAACCCAGAUCAGAAAUUUCAGGUACUGAUUGGUUAUCUUCUUGGUGUAUUUUGUAGGCUCUGUUCUUUCUGUUCUAAUUAUUUUCGUCCGAAAUUUCAGGUCUGAUUUUCUUCCUGUUCAUUGCUACCUUCAGCAUCCAAUAGCUAUCGCUUCCUCCUCUGUUCGAAUUCUUAGGGUCUGAUAAUAUGCUUUCAGAAUUUAAAAAUUCGAGUUGCUUCUUCCAUGGAAGGAUCUUCUAUCUCUCUGUGAGCCAUUGGGAAAUCUGGAUCCCCUGUUUCCAUGUGAAAUUCUUCUUGUUUCUUUGAGUUCCUCACAUUUUCAAGAUUUUCCCUCAAAUUUCCUCUUAAUUUCAGACCCAGCGUCUUCCCAAUACUUUUCUUCAGAAACCCAGACCAGUUCGGCUUUUCAAAUUUCGUGAAUUCCGUCUUCGGAUCAUCGAGAAAACCCCAUGUUCUGGUCUCUGACUGUUUGAUGUUCUCCUCGAGUAAAGUUUUUACAGUGUUGAUGGCGAAAACGUCAUAUUUCAGUGCUUGAAAUUUCUAAUCACCUUUGCUCUGUCCAUUUUUCUUCGUAACUUCGGGAUUUUCAUCCGAAUCCAAUUGACUGCAGAACCUGCUUUUUAUCCAUUUCCCCUUUCGUUUCUCUUUGCUACUUUAAUUGUAGAAUCUUCUGAGUAAUCUUUCUUCAGACUAACCCCCUUUUGAAAUGGGACAGGUAGUGUAUAUAUAAUUAAGCAUAUGGAGAAAGAAAAUCUCAGAAUCAAUAGCCAUGGCAAUUUCGUUAGUAAUAAUCUCAACGGGAGGGAUAGAACCAGCGUGGACAGCUCGCUGUUGUUGCGAGCGAGAUCCGAAGCCGCCGUUGUCGCCGUCGCAACGAGACCGCAGCCAACGCCGUCGGAAUUUGUGUUACAAUGGGGAAACCGGAAGCGUCUCCGGUGUAUGAAAGUUCCGGUUAAGGCCAAGGAUGUUUCCGCCGCAGCACCGGCUCACAGAACCACCGUCCGAGUGGACCGGCGAGUCGUUAGAGCCGAUAAAGACUCGAUUAUACAUAACCACCAACCAACUUCUAAUCAUAACCUUAAUCCGAGUAAUGGGUAUUUGAAUCUCCGUCAACGGCCGAUUUCUCCUCAACCGCCAGUUCUACCGCCGCCGCCAGCUCCAUCUCAGCGUAUUCUAAGGUACUCUCUGUUUCUCUCUCUUUUCUUCAACGCCAAUCUUUCGUAAUUUCUUUUUUAAUCUCUUUGAUCGUUCAAAUCUCAUCCGAUAUUUGAGAUUCCUUUUUCCCGGCUAUGGGAUUCAAAAUCCCGAUGUAUUCUUUUAAAUGGGCCUUUCUAUUUGGGCUUUUAUUUUAUUGGGCUUUUUAUUUGCUUGCUGUAACGCACUGCAUAUCUAAAUAUCUAAGAAACAUAUUAUCGCUAUUUAUAUACUCAUAUCAUAAUCAAUAUUUGACAACAUAGUCUAUGAUUAACACUUAUUGGCUACAUUAUUGUAAAAAAAAAUUCAAUAAUCUUUCUUUUUCAAACAAUAAAAAAAUAAUUGUAUAAAUGCAACUUGGUAUUGGAAUCUGAUGAAAUGAUGAACCAAACAUUGAAGGACGCAAUUUAGCCUCGUUGAUUAGGACACGUCUUCCAUUUCUUCCACGUGUCGUUUUCACUGUGGAAUAAUAGCCGUCGGAUCAUCAAUCGCAGUGACCACUGGUGUCCCCAGAGUGUCUCCAGAUCGGCUGCCCUGGAGCGGACACGUAAUCUCGAACUUGUAGAUCCAAAGGCUGAGGUUGGGGCGAGGUAGUCAUGAUUUGAAAAGACAGGUUUGUCCUUAAGAAAAAUCUAAGCCAUUGAAUGAAAGAAUAGAGACGAAGUCCCCCAUUUUGUACGCAAAUUCUAAGCCAGAUUUCCCCCAACGAACUCCAACAUCCUCCAAGGUCAUUCCCGUAAUUUCAGCCCACGAACGUAAAUAAAUUAAAUUUGCUUUUCUUCUUUUUUCCCUUUUUUUUUUUCUUCUUCUUUAAUGAGUAAUCUUUCAAUCUUUCGUGAGAUUUGUUCUUUAGGCCUUUUGUUUUGGUAAUCUAUGUGUGUAUGUCUUGUGGGGUUGGGAGUCUUUUUUUUAAAAAAAAGAACUUUUUGGUGAAACUAAGUAGUAAACAAACAGAGACUGAGUUUUUGUUUUUAAAAAAAUUUGAUUAGGAACUCUGAGAUUUCCGGUACGAUGAGAGCCCAAUCCAACGGCGGUGUCAGAGCAAUUACUUCUCCGGACAGGGCAGCGCCGGAGAAAAAACCACCACCGUCUCAUCACGACCACCACCAUAAAUCCGCCGCUACCUCAGACACAAAAAAAGGUGGGUCAUCUUCCGGCAGCGGAGAACCAACUGCACCGCCGCAAGCGCUGCCGGUUUGGCCACCGAAGUUCGUAAUAGCUUUAACGAACAAAGAGAAGGAAGAAGAUUUCAUGGCGAUCAAAGGGUCAAAACUGCCUCAGAGACCUAAAAAACGAGCAAAAAUUAUUCAACGCACCAUCAAUGUAAGCAAAACACCAAUCCCCCCGUCUUUACUUUUCCAGAUUCGUUCUCUACCUUUUCUUUUAUUGGUUUUAAUUACUUUUUCUUCCUUAGUUACGAACUGAUUCUCAUGCGCUAUAAUUAUUAAUUAUUAAUUAUUAAUUAUUAAUAUCAUUAUUACUUCUGCUUUAAUUAUUUAUUUGAACCCUAAUUUUCUUUUAAUUUUCACCGAAUAUUUAUUUCCUAGUAAUUAUUCAAUGAGAGCAUUAAUUGAAAAUAAAACGAAAAAGGGGGGUGUGGGGGUGAGAGAGAGAUAUUAAGGGGAGAGUUGUGGCAAUGGAAGGUUGAUGGAAUGCCACGUGGAGAGAUAUGGUUUGAGUGUUAUUUACCGGAAAUGAAGGCAUUGUGUGUGGGUGAAUGAAUGGUUUAACCAAUUACUAGUCGACAGAUAGACAAUCGCUGAGUUGUCCCAUCCUCGCCUUCAACAGUUGGGAGUCCUUUGGGUUUCUUUUUCUUUUAUCUAAAUAAUCAUGUUCACAUUCAACCUUACUUUUUGUAAUAAAUUCUUAAUUUCCCUCUUCCCUUUUACUUUUCUAUAAAUAAUAUUUGUAAAAGUAUAUUACAUUUUGUUCAGGAUUUAUUUAAUUUGUGUGUUGGUUUGGUGUUUGGUGUUUGGUGUUUGCUAUUUGGUGGUGGCAGCUGGUGAGUCCGGGGACGUGGCUAUGUGAUUUAACGUUGGAGAGAUACGAAGUAAGGGAGAAGAAAAUUUCUAAAAAGGUAUGUAUUUUUUUUCUUCUAUUUUUUGUGUUUAUUAAUUUGUGAAUUGUAAGAAUUGAUUCUUGUUAUUUGAAUGUGUUUGGGAUGCAGAGACCAAGAGGGCUUAAGGCAAUAGUGAACAUGGAGUCGGAGUCCGAGUGAGGAAAAGAGGAGAGUUUCUGAUCACAUACCAAAUUAAUUUAGAACCACUGUUUUGUUGUGAUUUUGUGGAGAGGAGGGGAAGAAGCUUUUAAUUAUGUGAAUUACAUAAAUAUAAAAUAUAUAUAUAUAUAUAUAAGUUGUAGAUUUUCUCUUGGCUAAUUGAUUUUAUUAGCAUAAUGAAAUUGUAAUUAUUCUAAUUUUUUAGUUCUAAGUUGAUCCUUUUGAUAACGGUUUUCAAGUAGAAAUUACCAAUUCUUAGAUUGAAAAUAGAAAUGAGGGUGGAAGCUACAUUUGUUUAUGGAUUAAAGAGCUUUUUCUUUUUUUCUUUUGUGUAAAGAUAUAUUGGCUUAUCAACUAACUUUUAGAAAAACAAAUCCUCCAAGAAUGAAAAAAACUCGGAUUAUCACUUUACUACAACUGCGUCAGUUGAUUCUCUAUCUUUUUUUUUUUCUUUCUCCUCAUCCUUCUUCACAUACUAAAUCAAAAGCCUAAUUUCCCGAAGUUCCCAACUUUAAUUUCCCACACUUUACACCCACCCCUUCCUCUCCUUCAAACUAUUUCUUUCUUCAACAUAUUUUUUCUUAAAAUUAACACAAAAAAAAAAAAAAGUUUCAUACAAUAACUUAUGAUAACAACUUACGUAAACAGUAGAAGGUAUUUCCUUUGGUUUGACAAAAUCAUAGAGAAUAAUGAAACUAUUAUUUUAUAAUGAAAUUCUUCAAAUGGUAGAGACUAAACUACAACUCUCUUUGAAUCAUAUUUAUUGUUAAUUAGCUAGUUUUAUGAUUUAUAAAUAUAUUACAAACACGUUAAACAAAUUUUAAAAUUAUAAUCUAAUUGAAUUUGUUUCCAAACACAUAUUUAAGAUAAAACAUAAAACAUGAAAUUAAGGAGAGGAAGAACUCUAUGUUACCAAAAUACUUUUCUUCUAACUUUUACAGAAAAAACAUUCUUAGAUUUAAACAUAAUUUUAAAUCUAUAAUGGCUGGAUUGCCAUGGUAUUAAAAAAUUAAAUGUAAAUCAUAAAAAGCUAAUAUUGCAAUAUUUAGAAUUGUAAAUUUCUUGAAACAAUCAAAUAAACUUCAUGUGAGUUCAAAAGGGUAUGCAAAAUAAAUUCUAUCGAGUAUAUAAAAUAAAAAGAAUGAAUAAAGAAAAGGAAAAAAGAACUCAAAAUGAAAAUAUAUUUGAGUUGAGCAUCACAAAGAUCACAAGUAGACUUUAUUAGUGGACAACAGAAAUCAACCAAUAUACCAUUUCAUUAAUAUAAAUAAUUCUCUAUAUGCUUUGGAUUCGUCCUUCUUAGAGAAGAAAAAAGAAAAGCAAAAAAGGCAACCAUGUUCUUGUCAUCAAUUCUCUAGCUGUAAAAAUUGCCAACCAUAAAAUUAUUGGCACCUUUCCCUUUCGGGUUUUCAUUAUUCAUUGCACAUGCCUCGCUGCCCCACAAAUUCUACUUCAAUUGGACUUCUGUUGGUCCAGAUUUCAAAUUAUUAAAUAUGCCUUACAAAUCUUGGAAUUCCACAAUUUAAUAAUCCUCAACUUAAUUCGGUAGUACACAAAAUGAUUUCUGAUGGGGUUUUUUUUUUCUCUCUCUCUCUCUCUCUUCAAGAAGAAAUUAAUCAAUCAAUUACAGUGAGAAUUACCAAAUUGUUUUGGCUAAGCGAAGAAUCUCAAAGAAAUUGUUGCAGUUAGAUAUAAUAAGCGAGUGUGUUCGUAUGAAUGAAUGCAUGAAAGAGUAAAGAAGAAGAGAGUAUUUAAAAAGAACGAAACAAUUUAUUUACUAAUCAUAACCAACAAAAUAUAGCACAAUCGUGAACAAACCAACACAACCUGCAUUCUAUAUAUAAGAAUGUGUAAACAAAAGAGGUCGUCUGUACCAAACGUGUAGAAAUUAAAGUCCCUUAGAAAAACAUCUAAAACAAAUUCCUCCGCGGCGCAAGGUUUUAGUUGAAGAGAGAAAAGAAAAAGAAAAAGGAAAAGCAGACCAUCACAAAUACAUGGAAGAGUCCAUGGCAAAAUCAAUCACCACAUCCGAAGGCCGGUAGCUCAGAUCCUGAGAGUAGAUCCGAAGGCGAGAGCAAGGAAAGCAGCAAGGCAAGCGGAGACGGCCGAAGGAGCAAUGGAGGUGGCAGGGGAGGCCGGACUGGGAGCCGGAGCCUCCUGAGCGGCGACGGAGGAAAGGGCGAAGAUGAGGGCAAUGAGAGCGAGGAGAGAAACUUUGGAGAGGGCGGCCAUUGGGUAAAAGAGGUAAUGGGGGCGGGGGGUUAGGGUUGAGGCGGGAGAGAGGAGAGAGGAGAGAACCGUUUGAUUGGGAAAUGAGAAAGGGAAAUAGUAGAAGGAGAGAUAUAUAGAGAGAAACGGGGAGGUGCAAGCUGGCGAAUGGUUGAAAGACAG
rnacentral:lncRNA from 1 species